GCGCUCCCCGUGCUCGCCGCCCUGCAACUUGUGCGCUGGGAAGCGCUGCCAGGAAUAGCCCGGCCGAGCGGCUGCGGAGCGCGGCUCCCUCCCUCCCUCUCUCCCUCCCUCUCUCCUUCCCUCCCUCUCUCUGCCUUCCGCCCGCCCGCCCGCCGCCUCGCCGAUGCCGGUCUCUGCCGAGCGGAGGGAGAGCGAUGAUCUACCUUAAGAUAAAUACGUGAAACAGACGCCCCUUUGGCUGCUGGAAUACCGCUGUCUGUCUUUAUAUAAAGCAACGCCGCCGGCCACCUCACUCCGGCGCGGAGCGACGAGAGCGCCCGGCGGGAGCGGCGGCAGCGAAAGGGCACCGGGAGGGCUCUCCGCGGCCACUCGCCAGGGUUCUGUAAUUCCAUUGUUUGUUAUGUGGAGGUGAUGGAGAGUGAAAGCAUGGUCUGAGGAACUCAACCCAUGCCCUGAAGCCUGCAGUUGGUGUGCUGUUGCAACCAAUGGUGGAAAGGUAGGGUAUCUUUUUAACAUGCCUGAUGAAUAAUAAUAGAAUAUGUAGCAGUAAAUUUACUGUGUAAUCCCGAGUACCUGAGACUUUGCCAGCUGGAAGGAAAGGGAUGCAUACUUUAAUUGGCCUCCCUAACCAUAACAGUGCACCCCUUACUACUUCUUUGAUCUGGGUCUCUCCUGACUGCCUCUUUGCCUGAGUGACUGGCAAACUUAUAUGUGAUUUGCUGUAAGGCACACAACUGUGAACAAGCACCUGGUGUGUAGUAGCAGCUCCUGUUUUUAAUCAGCCUUUGGAGUAGUAGGCAUAUGAGGAUGUCUGGUCCUGUGUUCUGUAAACUGGGUCUGGGUCAAGAUAGUAGACUUCAUAGUAAAAGAGCAGGAGGAAGCAUCAGCAGAGGGACAGUCUGUGGGGGAGAUAGGUAAAUUCAGUAUUCAAUGUCUGUAGCUCUGGAGAGGAAUCAUACUUCCCUGUGAAAGGGAUGUAGCAAAACCCCAUAACCUCAGGUAACUGACACUUGUUCUCAGCGCCAGCGUCUGCCUUGCUGAGGCAUCAUCAGGCUCCAGCCCUAGGCUCCCACAGUGCGAGCUGCCCUCCCAUAAUGUGGUGGGAGGGCUGGUAAGGUCCCACACAGCACCUCGUGGGCUGCCUCCUUCUUGCAAUGGCUAGUAUGGCUUUUCACAGCCCCUAAAACUUCUCAGUACAGCUUUUGGCUCCUCUACAAGGGCUUUUCAUAGCUGUAGCUCCUGUGGCUUGCUGCAGCAUGGGGUUUUUUUUUGUUUGUUUUGUUUUUGUUUUUGGAACAGAUGGUGUCUUACGUAGAAAGUUACUGUAUUUUUGUAUGACUGGGUUUUAUUUAUUUAUUUCCUUGUCUCUCCCUUUUAUUUUUUGAAGUAGGCUUAAUUUUGACAACAGUGCUGGAUUUAUCUUUGAUAUAUUAAUGUUUGUGUUUGUGUACGCGUGCAGUAUUUUGCAGCGCAGUGGUUGUGUUUUCAAGUGUUAAUGGGCACAUUUUUGUCAAAAGUGCAAUUAGUUUGAAAUUUGAAGGGAAAACAGCCCGUGAAGGAAGAUCUUUGAGAAGAAAAGUAAAUGUCGUCUCAAAUGAGCACUGUACUCACUGGAGUAAGGUUUUGUUUUUAAGUCAGUAGAUGGGUUUUCUGUAUCUAAUCUUUGUGUUGUGUUUUUUAAUUGAUAUCAUCUGGUCAAUUUGAGGGAAAAUGCUAUUCCCAUAAGGAAAAUAUUUAUUCUAAAUAUUAUUGUUGCCUAGGAUCUUGUUGAAUUCAUGAGAUACAGCAGCAGUCGAGUUGAUUUAAUAUUUUUAACAUUUUUAUAGUGUUUUCUCAUUGUUUCCAUGAAAGCAAUUUCAAUAAAUAUUUUUGCAAUUGCUUUUGGUUUCUUGAAAUUAGGUUACCUAUUGUUGAAAACUGCAGGUUCUCAAGCAUGGGUUUCAGAUCUGGUUUGUCAUGAUUAGACGUUUGAAAUAAAAUAUAAAUACUUGAGCAAGCCUCAAAAUGAUCACUUGUCUUUUCCCUGCUUAGCUUCCAAAAUGCCGUUUGUUCUGUCUAGUGAGUCUCCUUAAUUUGAUCCUUAUUUGUAAAGAUAGCUACAUUCACAGGGGUUUGGUUCCAUUCAGCCAAAUCACUUCCUUUUAUUCAUUUGUGUGUAUGUGUGUAUAUGUACGUGUGUGUGUGUGUGUGUGUGUACAUGGAAAACACAUAUACACACCAUCUGCCUGUAGACAGUAAUGCAUACCUUAAGUGAACAGGAUCAUCCCAUUUGAAAGACAAGGUUUAUGUUUUCAUCCUAAACCCAAGCCUUAUCUCACAGCAGCAUUUUUUUUUCUUUGCAAUGCAUUUUUUUUUUUCCAGUAACUUGUGAACAUGUGGCCUUCCAUAUAGAAGUGUUCUGAGGUAUAUGGGAAGAGAGACCGGGGGACAUUUGAGUGCUUCCUCAUGGCCCUGACUUUACACAUGGUUGGAUCGUGUCCUUUCACAGGGGCAGUCAUUCGUGGCCCCACAUCUAGACUGAGUUCCAAACAUGGUGAUAAAAAGCUCCACGCUUCUGUGUUCUCUAUCACAUGUGUUUUAAGGUAAAGGAUUCCCUGCUGAUGUUGGGCAGUUUGGAUCUUGUCAUCUUCAUUUGCCUUGUUUUCCUCAUAAAAGCAGCACAAGUUAUUUGAAUGAUCUGUUUAUAGGACUGCUUGAGAGAAUUCCCUUAAUAAUGAGACAGUUCAACAAAAAAUCUCAAGAUAAUGGCUUUUCCAUUUGCACCUCUCAGACAUUGUUUCAAGUGGAAGCAAAAGGAUUAUUAAAACCCUUGUAAGUAGUUUAAAUUCCCUAGUGAUACACCACAGUGGUUUUGUUCUAAGUAUUACACAGAUGGGUUGUAAAGGGUAAAAAUAUAAUUGAAUUUGUGUGGAUAUGUAAAGAUGUUAAAUAUUUUGUAGGUAGCCAACUUGAAGAGUUGUUUUCCAUAUAUAUUUGUAUUUACCACGACCGAUUUCUGUUGUGGAGUGAAAAAGCACACAUUUUCAUCAGUGUAAAAGGGCACCAACAGUGACACCAGUUCAGUUUGCAUGCGUCCGUUUGCUUUACGUUUUGAAGUUUUAAAUAAAAAACCACAAUAGAUACAGCUCUUCUAAGAAUAUUUUGUAUCAUCUAGAUGAGGUGGAACUUUCUCAUGUCAAACCAUGGUAAAGAUGGCAUAUACCCUUCCUCAACUAAUGGAGCAGGAAGAUGUGAUUAGCUGAAGACUAGCUUUUGGCGUGUGGAUGAGCGUAUAAAAAUGCUGCUGUUGCUUUCUGUAUUCCUUUGUUUAACAGACAAUAUAUGGCAUAUAUAGGUGUUCACAUAUGUAUAAUAAUGCCACACUGACAAACUUCAGGAUUAAGUCUCUGGUUAACGUCAGAACAAGCAGCAGUAGGAGUUUCCUUACGCUAUCUGGGCAAUGAAUCUUCAAGAUUCCACAGUCAAGCUGUCUCUGAACAACUUGACUCUGAAACAGGAUAGAAAAUAAAGCAGUUCGUAUCCAUGUAAAAGGGCAUGUUUUUAAAAGCAUUUCCAAAAUGUUUAGUUGAAAAGUUCGAUUGUAAAAAUGUUAUCUUUGACCUUAUUUUAGUAAAAUGAGCAGCUAGUAAUCCAGUGGUGUUGUAUGUGUCCAGCAACAGAUGUGAUUUAAUGUAACUCUGAGAUACAGGCUGGUGGUUCCCUAGUUUCAACUUCAGUACUCUGUUUUAUUGAGGCUGAAAGGCUAGCUUCAGUUGCUGGUGUGGCCAUAGGGUUGUUACUGCACGAACAGCAAAAAACCUCUUCAGCUAGGGAUGGUAGUAUGAGGUGAGGAUCGGGAUGAGUGUUUUCUGAACUCCAUAUGAUGUUUUCCAUUGAGGUACAUUGAAUUAUGUGCCGCUGUUUGAAAAUUAGCUUCUGUCAACUGGAGCACUGCUGCCCAGUCGGUCUCAGCAUGCAGAGGGAAGGUCUGAUGUCCCAGCACCCAGAGGAUGCUGUUGGGACAUUCUCACUGUGAGUGAAUGGUUUUAUCACUAUAUUUUGAUGUGCUGUUGAGACACUAAGGAAAAUGGUUCUAGAGCCUGUGCUGCUGGUAGGAGAGUGCUGUGGGUGAAUCCAUUGCCCUGUUCGAAGUGAGAAACAGCUGCAGCCACACUGCUUCCCAUGGCUGCUCUGAAUGGCUGUCCAGCAGUGGACACAGAGACCUCCCAGUACUCUCAUAUGAAUCCCUAAUGAUGCUUUCCAUCAAAAAGGCUUUGCAGUGUUUUUUUUUAAGAGGGUGAUAGCGGUGGGUAGGGCUGAAAGCUGGUCUCUCCCUCUACCUACCUGAUAAGGUUGCUAAUGAUUUAGUUAGGGUCAGAGGAGGAGUUACCGAAUGCUCAGUGGCCAUGUGCUAUGGCACAGCUUCUGUGCCUCCACAGUCUUCCAUAUACUGUGCUCUUAUUUGCUUCAGAAAAGCAGGAGGGAAAUUAAAUAGAAGCAUCUGCAUUCACUUUGCUGGGUUGUCAGCCAUCUCCAACAAGGGGAUCCUGUAGUUUCACACUCCAGUUUUUCCCUAAAUGCAUACAGAAAACAUGUUUUACUCCGUGGGAUCCAGAAGUGUGUAAGGCUUCAUUUCCUGAUGCUAGCAGAAGUAUGGGCUGCAGUGAGAGCCGAGUGCAUCCCCACACUGCAGUAAUAUUCCUUACACAAGCUGAACAAGAAAAACCAGAGCAGCACGGCUCCUGAGCAAAUAUUGUUUCUAGUCACAUAGGAUGCUUUGCAGCUGAGCCUGGUAACACGCUGCUCAUCUGUUUUGCUGUGCAAGCGCAGAGAAGCCGCUGCUGGUUCCUCCAAAAUCUCCCUCCUUGCCGCACGUUGGAAACGUCUGAACUUUGGCCCUCAAUCUGCUGACACCCUGAGGGAGUGUGAGUGUAAUGACGUCUUUGCUUGUUUCAGCUGCACAACAGGAAACACUCAUGGCCUCCCCGUCUUCCUGCACUGAGCAGCGCUGCCUUUUCUCCCUCCCUUCCCCUGUGGUGCGGCAGGCUCAGACCCACUUCCAGGUUGCACAGCUGUGUGCCGUGCCCGCCCUGUGCUGGGGCUGCCAGCUGCUCGCUGUCACUUCUGCGCUGGUGCCAGGUGUGGGGCAGCUUAUGUAGUGAUUUUCCCCUGGAGAAGAGAAUCCAGUUGUGUUGCAAUGGCUCGCUGCACAGAGCUUGUCACUGGAUGUGCCUCGGCUGGAAGGAGCAGGAUGGUCAGGCGAUGAGUUGCUGUGGGGAGGCAACUUGCAUAAUAUAGAGGACACGCUCCCAGGUGGGCACGCAGGGAUCCUGGAAUGUGGCCCCGAUAUUGCUGAGUAAUGCUGAGCGUGAACGGCUGAAGAGACUGCUGUGCCCUGGUGGAGCAGGGAGGCUCUCUUCUUGCAGAGCAUCGGCAGGAAGCCUGCUUAACCCUCUUUAGCUGUGGCUUUAUGCUUGUAACCAAAACAGGGAUAUGAGUAAGAAGGGUUGUUGAGAAACACGAGCCUUUUGCAGCUGGCUGAGGGCAGAGCAUUUUGUCUCAUCAAAGGCAGCCCCAAAAAAAUUAAAGCACUGCAGAGUUCGUACAAGAGAAUUAAUUGGUUCAAUAUUCAGCUGUUAUCCUCUAAUGAAUGGGGUGCCGGGGGGUCACUUGUAAAAACGAAGUACAUAUGCACCAGUGAAUUUGCAUAUUGUGGUGUGAGACGAGAUGUUGAUUAGUCUAAAAUACAGCGUCCUGCAUUUGCAAGAUUGAAUUAACUUCGAAUGUAUCCAGUUCUGGUGCGGUUGCUUAUUUAUUUGGUUAAUGUUGCAGAGGCAUAUUAUUAGAGAGCGGCUUCAGUCUGCACUCUGUAAUAAGCAAGUUCUGAAUUUACCUCAUUAAUCUAUCGCGCUACCUAGCAAAAUAACAGUUGUUUUUAACAAGCUGGAGUUAUGUAACAUGAAUCAUGCAUGGCAAGAUGCUUGCAAGCAGGGGAAAGCAAGAUGUGCUAAGGAAUAACAGUAUUCAGCCUUCUGCAAGAUAGGAUAUGACUGGCUUUGGAAAUUAAACGCUGUGUGUUGUUAUUCUCGGCCUUACAGACAAGUUCCAGCUAUUCAUUAUGAGAAUGCGUCUUGAAACAAAGUCUUGAGAUGGGAAUGUUUAACAGACAGAAGGGUGAAUUUGCCCAGCCGUGUGCAGUCCUUGGAGGAUUUUGUAUCCUUGCCUGCCAAAUUCUGCCCCCCUCCCUGUUGUUUUUCUUCUGGAAAAGCAGCGUAGAAUAAUGUGAGAAGUCUCAUAAAUUAGACUGAUUUCAUAUGUAAAAAAAAAAUAAUAAUAACUUGAUGAGCUGUGAUAGCCCCUAUGAAUUGUUAUAUAAAUCUCCUUUCUUCUUUUAAAUAUGCCCCUAUAGGGUCAUUAGGCAUGUAUACUCUACAGUAGUCCUCUGUCUCAAGAGAUUUUACAACCAGUUUAUGGAAAAGGGGAAGCAAGUGGUUCUAUGAAUGCAUUAGAAUCAAAGCAAUUGAUUUUAAGUCAAAUCUCUCUUUCAUAAUUUUUCCUUGACAAUUUUCUCUACUGUUACUCAGUUUUGAUCUUAAAAGCUGUACCGAGAUGUUAAGCCUGGGAUAACCUUUUCCUGUGGUGACACGGAUACAAAAAUCACGUAACCAUAUUGGGAAAUAAAGCACUGAGAAUAAUAGCCUUUAGGAAGGGAAUGGCAAAGAUGGUGGUUUGGAAAAGGAAUGAUUUAAUGUUCAUGAAUGUCUUUUCAAAUCGUCCUUCUCACGUAAAGCAAAUCUUUCUAUAUUUUUUCAUACAUGGAUAAAAUUACUGUAAAGUGUAGAGAAGGACUGCUAACCGCUGUACUUUGAGAUUUUACUAAUAUUAGUAACAAAUAAGCAAAAAAAAAAAAAAGUGCUGAUAUUUAUGGUUUUCAUUUCUCUGUUACCAUACAUGCUUACAAACACAGUGGCUGAUUACGUGUCAGGGCAGAUAGCAGCAGAGAUGUUAGAAGAAGAAACAGUUACGUCUCCAAGUUGCUCCUGUAACUAGCGCCAUUGCUAGCACUCUGAACUUGGUGAACAAGGGCUGAACAAGCCUGGAUUUUCUCAACACGGAUUUUCUCUACGUAGAUUUUCUCACACAGAAGGUCACUCAGGUCACAGACAAAGAUGUUGAAAAAGCAUUAUAAGGAAGGGGGUUGUGUUACUCUCAUUAUGUCCUUGUUUUCUAAACAAAUGCAGCGCAGCACCCCUCAGACGAAACUUGCCUUUUAGGAAAACUGAAGAGAAGUUUCAGUCUUAGAAUAACUUUAAUUUAUCUUAUUGGAUUGACUUAGUUUUGUAUAGCUGUGCAUUAUUAGGAGAACAGUAGAGCCAAGUGUAGAAGUAGUGCUACAGAAGGACACCAACAUCUGGUGGGUGGAGAAGGACCCUCUCCUGAAUUUGCAUGAUUGUUAACUAAAUAUAAAGUUCAUCAAAUGAUUUCUAGUUGUUUUGACUCCAGUACUCUUUCCUUUUUACUCCAUAAUACUUUUUUGGCUAGUAGUAAUGUCCUUUCUGAAAAUCUAUGAUUUCCUCAAUGCAGGUGAAUAUUAUGUAGAGGCAUCAAAUUAAAUUAUUGGCAUUUUUUUUUUUUUCACACUAUCAAUAGUAGCAAGGUCGCCAUUCUAUGAUGUGACUAAUUAGGAAGAUUGAAGUGUCUUUUGUGGGAUCUUCCCUUGCUCUUUGGUGGGACGUGAGGGCUGCUCAAUGGCCAUGGUGUGAGGCGUGGGCAGCACAGGAGGGGCUGCCCUUGGUUUCUACUGGAAUUUCUGUUGAGAUCAGGGCAACGUGAAUGAGCAAAGUAGGGCAAACAGGUGGCUGCUGUGUGAAAGAAAAUACCAUGAGUAACACUGCUGUGUAUGAGUGUGGUGGGGUGUCGGUGUGCACACAGAGAUUGGCUUGUCGAGGAGCAGCUCUCACAUCCUGGGGUCCUUGAAAUGAUCGUCAGAGGUUAAUAGUCUUGGUCAGAAUGCUCUGCAGAAAGAUUUCUUGCCCUGGGAAUUGUUGUGCGCAGUUGUCUCAUUUUCCUUUCCUCUCUUGAAAGCCAAUGUUAUCUUGUCCAUUCAACCCCGUAAAGUAUCCCCAGGUUAUCAAGUUCUUCUCAUAUUGCAGCAAAACUUGAAAUAAUUACCAAUUCAGCUUCACUAUUUCUGUCAGCUUAAAAAAAAAAAAAAAAAGAAAAGAAAUUUAAUUUACACUAAUUACUCAGAACUUGAGAUGCUCAGCAUGAAAGUGGCUAGGUGCAAAAUAGGAUUAAAUAUGUAAAGGAGAAAAAAGCAUUGUGUGUUGCAUUUUUCCUAUUUAAUGCUCUGUUUGUAUGUCAUUACCAAGCCAUCUGCAAGCAGAAUUCUCCUAGCAGACUGAAGCAGUUCUUCAAGAAAAAAAUUAAAAAUAAGAACAGUCAGGCUGAUAAUUUAAAAACAAAGAUUUGGUGUGAACAGAUUAAGAUGGGAGAGUUGUACUGAAAUGUCAUUAUUGCAGGCUUACCUUCUCUUAACUGUGGUACUCUGUGGUCCCCGGUAUGAUCUGAGGAGCCAAGCAAUGGGCAUGCUUUCUCCAUAUUUUGUUGCUGAAACACGAACACUUUGCAUCCCCAAAACUUCUGUGCGUGUGUCUGUGUGUGUAGGGGGAAGGGGGAAGUCAUCCUCUAGGUUACACUGAAGGUUGCAUAACGUAACAUCAGAGGUACAGGGACCGAGCUCCUCAUUGCAGAUAUGAGUUUUAGUAUGGAUUUCACUGGAGAGCAUUAGUGUUGUUCCUGUAAUUGUUCUCAACUCUACCGCUUGUCCUGUGUGGAUGUGUAACAGCUGUGGCACAGUCAGAUCACAGUUCAUAAUGCUUCUGCUCUUUGGGGAAUGAGAAAUAAAAGCUUUUGUGCAGUCCCAGAUGAGAGUGGCCACAGAGGUGGGCUGAACGCACCGUCACUCCUGCUGAGGUGAGCGCAGUUCUGCACUGCUAUUGCCAUGGUACGCAUCUCUUUGGAAGCACCAGCACAACACAUAUUUGUGAUCCAGAGAGUUUGUCUCACCAUCCAGAAAUGCGUAUGUUCUCUUUCUUCACCUCAGCUGACCCUGGCUUUGAACCCUCCCAAACCUUGGAGAUGUUUAUAGCUGCGCUUUGUUUUGUGAAUGGAAUUUGUUUUUCUAAGUGCAGCAUGAAGAUUUGCUUUAUCUGCAUGGAGCAUGCUUGCUUGAGCAGUUGCUUUCCACAGUGUGGCAUUUGUAGAUUAAAAUCUUUUCUGCCUUGGUGGUGCCGAUUCAGUUCAUUCUGCAGCUAGUCCAUUUUGCUAGCAUGCUACAGUAAGGUGCCUGGCUGCUGCAGUGAGAAAGGGAAUUUUUUUUCAUUUCCUCUGAGGUGUAGAUUUGAAAUGAAACUAUUUUUUUAAGGUAAUCUGAAAACUAGAAUGACACUCCAUGCUUCAACGCGUGUUUCGUUUCACCUGUAAAACUACUUUUAAUUCUUGUGUUUGCACUUGGAACUUGAACGCUUUACACUGACACUAGAAAUGACAGCCCUGUGCAUAGAAUGUACGUUUUAUUUUAUUUUGGCAUAUUUUACUGUCCACCAGGUGUUGAUCAGAGAAUUCAGCAGUAUACAGCUGCUGUGAUGUAGUUACUGUAUGUAAUACUCUACCUAAGGAAACACGGUCUAGUGACUAGCUGGAUGGGAGGGGUUUGAUGCCCGCAGAUUCAGUUCCUGGUUCUGCUACACAGCUCAUGCGUUUGGGGUAAGGUUCACACCACCUUACACUGAUUUUCAUGUGAGUUAAAUUCAUAAAUACGAGUUGUGCACAAAAAUACCCUCGCUGCGCAAUAUUCUCUUUAUGUCGGUAACGCUUCCUCACCUGACUGAGAUGUCACGUAGGCAGAUGCUGUGUUCUGCUUUUGAUCCAUACAGAGCCAGUAGGUGCUCUGUACUAACACCAAUUGCAAGACUUGAACCUUUUGUGUUUUUUUGGUGUGCUUUUAAGUGGCCGUUCUCUGAGCGAUCAAUAAUUGCGCUACUUACCAUGAGUACACUGCUGUUAAAGACCAUACAGCAGUCAGGCUACAUGCAGCUUCAGGGCCCAGUUCUGUCUCCUUUGCUUGGGAGUGAAAACAGCUAGGCUAAAGCAGAAUCAGAGACUACGAUGCUGAGAAGGGCAACUUGUGUAGAUCUGGGUCCAAAUGUUAAAUGCCCUGUUUAGAAUAAGAAGGGGUACGUUUUUUCCUCCCAAACAAACUGGUAGAAUUCAAAGUGGAUGUUUGUAAUUUAAGAUAUUGUGUUGUGUUGAGUGUUAAACAGCAGUGUUGAAGAGUGCAGGGAAAAGAUAUUUCUGCUGUGGUAAGAACUAAUACGAGCAGUGCAGAAUGCCCUGGUAUUACCCUGGCUUUUUUUUUUUUUUCCAACUUUGUGAAAUAUGCAUUUUGAAGUAUCUAGGCAGUUCGGAGAGUAACUGAACUGAGUAAAGUCUGGCAUAAGAUAGCAAGUGGGAACCCUAGAAAAUGUUUGUGGAUCUGUAGGGCACAGCAAUGCUUCCUGCCAGAGGAAGGCCCUAAGGACUCUCAUAGGCCUUGCCUGGAAGACUGUGUGGCAUCUGUGGCACGUAUGGGUCAUCAAGACAUCACAGGCAGCCCCAGAGCCACGCCUGUUCAUAGCAGACGAUGGUAUAGUCCUGAGCAGCCAUCAAGAUGCAGGGAAUGGGAGCAGGUGACCUCCAGACGUCCCCUCCAGCCUCAGCAUUGUGACCUGUCCCUCUGUGCCCAAGGACAGUGCAGUUACCUUGGCUUCUGACCUGGUUGGGAUGUUGUAGCAGAGCUCUGAGAAUAGCAAUUUGGGAAUCAGAGCUGGCUGUGGUGAGGAGUGCUUCAAAGUUAGUCUCUGCUAAGUUCUUUCAUCAGCAAUGCAUGCACCUCACUGAUGGACCUCUCUAGGAAACGUUGCUCAUCCCUGCUUCAUAACCAGACCUCGCAGCUUUUCACAGCUCUGCCCCCAGCUGCUUUGACUGGGUGAUGCCACAGGAUUGGGGCUGUGAAAGCAGCAGGGAGGGCUGUGCUAAUUUAGAUGAUUUAAAUAAUUGUGCUCUUGAUACUGCCCACUUACUUCUGUUUUGCCAGUGACCCUUCUGGCAUAUUCAGUAGGAUGUGCUGCCCGCUGGCCGUCCUUUCUGCUCAUCUCAUCUCCUGCCCUAGCAGUUCUUAUUGCUGGAAUGCUUCCUGCAUGCUGCAGCACCCAUCCUUCCCAGACACCUCGUUGUGAGCUGCUUAGCAAAUGCAGAGAAUCCUGUGAUGGGCAGAAAACAUAGCAUAUAGACCCAGUGAAAAGGGGAGCCCACCCUGGGCCAAGUAUCUGCCAGGUGUACCUCAUGCUUUCUUCACAAAACCUUCAAGUGCAACUUUAAUUCCAGGCAGAUUCCUAAGUUGUAGUGAAAUCCCUGGGUCCUGCACAUGCUCUUUAAUAUAGGCGUACAUUGUGAAUAGAAACAGCUUAAUGAACUGGAGCCAGGGUGGGGAAUUUUGGGACUCCUGCUGUUCUGCUUACAGUGUUUUGCAGGAGAGUUUAAGGCUGAGGAAUGACACCAACUGGAUUCACAGAACAAUCUGCUCCUGUUCUCACGAACUCCAAAUUAUUUUCCUUCUCACAUGCAAAGUUGUACCAAGAGUUGCAUUUAAAAACCCAUCUGCUGUCCAUAUUAUAUCAAUAGAAAGAAGUCUAAAAUUUUUCUAAAAUAUUCCGGUUACUCACUCCAUACUGCUGUCAUCUGUCUUUCAACUACAAGCCAUUUCUUGUAGUUGCACUCAAAAUCUUCCCUCAACCAACAGAUGAAACUCGUAGUUGCUAAAAGUGCAAAACUGGGAACAGGAUGCUAGAAAAUAGCAGUGCCUGCUUUUCAAACGUGUUUCUGAUAGUAUAAAAUACAUAAAUUGAUGCAAUAAUUUUUCCUUACUGAGUGUGGGAAAUAGUAAUAAAUUACUUUAAAAGUUUUCUCGUGUUUUUUUUUUUUCAUUAUGCUAAUAAUAUUUUGAAAUCUCAACAAUGUCUAUAAAUGUCUGAAUAUAAUUUUACAUGCAAAUAUGUAGUGUGUGAGAUGUAUGAUAAGCGCCGGGCACAGGGUGUUUGUAGGAAACAAACUGGUGCCUGCAGCAGCAGUUUGUUGUGGCUGUGCUGGAAUAACAGAUUCAAGGGAUCUUAUUUGUCAGUACCUCACCUUGAGGGACCCAGCGGGAGGUGUAGGGGCUGGGUGGUUAUGAAGCGGCAGCUGUUGAGGUGGCAGCAGAUGUGCCUGACGAAGAGCCAGCUAGAGCGCUGCGAUCCACAGCCAUAGGUGAGCUGUCGAGCUGUGUGUUGCAGUGCCCAGACCUGCUUCCUUCCCACCUUUCUUUAGGGGUGAUUAGGUGCAGACUUCAGCUUUUAGUAGUGUUGCAUCUCCACGUGCCUAUUUUCUCUAGGGAUUCUGUGGUGUUUUACCAGUUAAUGGUGCUGUUUUUCCCUUGAGGAUGCUAAUGGGCCCUCUCUUGUCUGUUCAAGCACAAAUUGGGAUUGGAAGGAACUUCUGGCAACGGUGGUGCAGUUAAGCUUGCUAUGUCUGUUAAAUCUCUUUAGAGAAAUUAGUAGGGAAGAGACAGGUACAGGCAUGCCAUUACACACAAUGUGGUUGCAGAUCUCUUUUACUGAGGAAACGAGGCUACAAAAGAUAUCUUGUGAGGAAGACAGAAUGUAUUCCUUUGGGAAUACUUGCUGAAUAGGAAGCUCUGUAAAAAUGGCAAAAUGUUGGAACUGUGAGAUACAAGUGAUUUAUUAUUUUCUCCGUGAUAAUAUCUGAAGGUUUCUGUGAAGAUGUAGGCUUCCUAGACUUGCAUCUUAAGGCACGCCCUAUUUACAAUGUAAGUAUCUCACAAGAUUAGGAGCGGUAAGAAACAUUAUCAUGGGAAUCAAAGACAGGUGGUGAGAUGCCUUCCAGUGUCAGAUCUAAAAUUCAAGGCAGCCGAGAGCGGAGUCCGUUCCUCCAUCCGCAUAAGGUAGCACUCCCAGCACCAGAUGUUACAUAGAGGUCAGCCUUGUGGCGCUGUGUGAGCCAUAGGCCCUACGCUAUACCUUCAGCAAACCUUGCACCAGUGAAGCUUUUGACAUAUUUGGAGUUUAUUACAUGUAUCUUUGCGCUGUGAUUCAGGCUUAAAUUUGUUUCAUUCUGAAGUUUAAAGGCCCCUUCUGACUUAAAGCACAUGGAUUUUUUUUUAAGAUUGAUGGAAUAAUGUUAGACGCUGCUAUUUUAAAAACUGUUGUUGCCUUGCAAAAGUGAAUUUCAUGUUUCUUUGUCUAAUAAUGUAUUCAGAGCACUUGGAAGGAAGUUUUGGAGUAUGGAGAUUUCUGCCCUGGGGAGGUAGUAUCCUGUGCUUUAGUUAGGUCAUGUCAGGCCAUUGUUUUGCUUUUCAUAUCAUAAAGAUCUUGUGUCUUUAUUCGCACUCAGCUGUGGACUUGAGUUUCCUGCAGAGAGUGAAAUAAUUAAGAACUAAUGCUAUGAAAUCGUAUGUCCUCCAUUUGUAGCUGGGUUUAAUUGAAGGCAAUUUUUAUAUACAUAGUAAUAAGUGAUGUAUAUAAGUAACAAGUAAUAUUUCUAUUUGUGGUGCUCAGUAUAGCUGAAACGCAGCCGGAUUGUUUUCUAUGUGAGAAAACAAACAGAGAGAUUCAAAGGUUUGUAGAACUUGGGUCUCUAUCCGCUGCCUAAUUUCAGCCCUGCCUGCCGGCUGCUGCUCUCCGCUUUGCCUCUGCUGGUAGAUCACGCCGGGACAGGGAUGGAGUUGGGCACAAUAGAUUUACUGGUCCAGAUAUGGCAGGGGAGUUGGCUGGGUAUGCUGGAGGGUUUGUCAGCAUAAGGAGCCAGUAAAGCGGGCUUAUGCAUGGGGUGCCAACGAAGGGUGUGCAGAACACAGAGCUUACUCUUAAAACCUGCUGUGGCUACGCAGAGUCGCGCAACCUUAAAUAUGGAUCUGGUGAGGAAGGGCACUCCUGGCUUAAAUUGAGAGCUUACGUUACUCUGCAGUUGUGGCAUGUAAGGGAGCAGCAACUCUCGAGGGAUUGCUGCUAAUGGGAUGGGCAAAGCCUCUCUGCCUUGCCUGUUAAGUCUGGGUUGGUGCUAAUGCCAGGGCUGGGGCAUGAACCUGAGUGAUGUAAGUAGUAGCAUCCACAGUCACAGCCUGGGGUGAGCAUGUGCCUGCUUUGCACAUCAGCUGGAUUUCCAUCAGGAUUUCUAGCACUGACAGCAGGACACUUUUCACCAGAACCAAGUUCAUCAUCAAACAGAAGGAGGCAUGCAAAGGGCAGUCUUGUUAAGUUUCACAUGCAUGAAGCUUUUGCUUUGGAAUGUGUUGUUCCAUUUCCUCCAAGUCUCCCUCGGGGAAACACCUGAUUUGGGUUUAUCCUGACUCUCCAGUUGUUACAUGCUACCUCAAGAUUGCAGCCACAGCUUCCGCCUGCACCAUCCUCUCCCUGGCUUCCCGCUGGUGCUGGGUGCAGCACAGCGGGUUGCCAGCAGAAAGCAGCCCUGGCUGCCCAGCCAAGGGUGCAGACGGAAAGAAAUGGCACCUGCUGCACUGCACAUCGGGGACAGGCCUAGCUGGGAGGAGUUGGCAGAGAUUGUGCUGAGGCUGUCUUCAUGGAUGGGGCAACAUCAGAAAGAGGUGCAACGCACAUUUGUAAGAAUAAAUGUGCAAAAUUGGUUCUUCUGGCUCCUCUUAUUGCAGACCAUCCUUUGCUGUGCAGAGGAUGUGCCCGUUGCGAGCUCUGAGCCGCCCUCAGCAGACGCUCUGUUACACUGUAGGUGCACAUCUGUGAUCUCAUCUUGAAAAAUACGACUUUACCUUCCACUUACCCUUCUGGAGACGGCUUGUCAGAGCAACAUGGUACCGCAAACUUAUCCUGCUUAAUGUCAGCUAAUUAAAUUCACUUUUGAAUAUAGUACUAAGCCAAUUUAAUUCUGUCUCUCAGAGCCUGCAGAGACGCUUGUGACUCUCGGAGGAGUUCUGUCUCUGAUUAGUGAUCAGAUCUCUUUGUGCCACUUCAGACUGUCUCUGUCUGUCUUUGUGUCUUUCACAGUGUGUUCUUAGGGGGCUGGGUGUUUUCCCCCUACUUUCACAGCCCCAACACGUGCCGUCAUGUCUAACAGCAUACUCCUUUUAAUGACAUUUGUUCUCUGAUACGAAACUUUCAUGGCUGUUGCUGGAAGAGAUAUAGGAUUUCUUGUGAAAUGCUCUGGAUGUUAGGUCUUGAUUUAGGAGGCUGUUUUUCGGAAGCGCUGAUCUCUGCAAGGACAGGGAUGUGGGUGACCUUCUUGCGCCGUGCUGGUGUCCCAGCCUCCGGAUGAUCGCUGCAUCGCAGCCCGAGCGCGACAGCCCCCAGUAAUGGUCACUGCCUGUCAUUCUCAAUGUACCUUGUGAUCGCUAACGUUCAUGAGAAUGAGGCACGGAAUUUAAAAAAGGAAUUAGUGAAAAAAAAAGUGAAAGGUCAAAGCAAGUCAUAAUGAGAAAGAGAGCAAAGCACUUAAUUGGGUAGUGCUGAUGGAAUAUAUCAUGCCAGUGACGAUCUGGUAGAUAUUUUUUGAUUCUGCCCUCUGCAUGAUUUAUUAAAGAAGGUCCAAGAGAAAAGUACUGCUUGUCUGUAGGUUUUCAUGCAGUAUUUUUCUUACUGCUUCCUUUGUGCAGCUUUGCACAGGGCAGCAUGUCGUAUCUCAUUUUGAACCCCUCCAUGCUGUCUGGUGGAGGGUACACGUACACUUCAAUGGAGGUUUCUGGUGCAGUGCAUCUUGUGUUUGUAGCUGCAUUUUCCUGCUCUCCUUGUUCCCCCUCUUUACUGAUUGCUUAUUAGUGUUAGGACAUCACAAGUGCAGAACUGAAUUGUUGUUCUCAGCCACGUAACUCUUGGUUACUGAGAAACUGCUGCUCCUCUUCAUUCCAGGAUGUAACCAAGGAGUGUUUGGAAACACUGCUCGAGAAGCAGCUUGCAUUGCUGCUUCACUACACUUGUUCUGCGCAGAGAAGAGACCUUCAGUGAAUGUGGAUAUCAGCCUGGUACAUUUUACAGGCAACGGAAUCAUCCAUGUUUUCUGUUGCCCAGUAAAGUACAGACAUGCUGUGGUGUCUGUAGUGUAGCUUUGGAUGUCACAAGAGAACUAAGAUAGGAGUUUUCUCACCUUUAUUGACAUAAUGCUUAACUUCUGACACAGGCAGAUGCCGGGAAAGUAAGACUUGGGACUGUAAUUCCUUUCUCAAUUCCUUCCAUUUUUUUGUGAGGAAAGGAGAAGAAAGAUUUAUUUCUUCAAGCAAGAUAAUGUGUUAACAGAUCAUAAGUUACUUUUUAAUUUUCAUUUUAAAAUAUGUUUUUCUGAAAGGCUAUUCAUAGGUAUGUACUUCUUUUGUAAUUAGAAGCUAUAGUUUUUUUUUCAAGAAUUUAUAAUAAAUUACAUAUAUCUGGAGAAUUCGUGAGGCUUACUACUUAGAUCUGAUUGUAGUAAACAAUUUGGUGCCUGUACCUAGCCAAUCUAACCAUGUUGGUUUAGGUAUUUUGUCCAUUUUAUGAGUUCUCAUUCAUUUUUCAAGUCAGCAAACAGUAUUUAUUGGAAGUGGAGAAAGUAUUGCUGAAACCUUGCUAAGUCCAAAAGCACAGCAAUGCCUUAUAGGCAUAUUCUAAACACCCAUGUCUGUAAGUUAUCUUCAUCUUUGUUGGUGUGAAUAUGCAGCGUGUGUUAAUGUGAACAUUUACGGUGCAAAAGAUUACAUAUUUUCUUCUUCAGUGUCAUACUUUAUUAUAAGAAAAUAAUACUUCGGGGUGAAAGAGUAACCAAUCUGUAGUUCAUUAUGUGUGAGUAUAGUUUUAGGAUUGCUUUCUGACCAGUAGACUCAGUUUUGAGAAGCAAUUGCAUGCUAAUGUGAGAGUGAGCUGACAGCAAACAAUAUAUUUCAGCUUCCAUUAAUUUUUUCUAACUGUGCCUAAUGUUUGCAUUUCAUUAAAAGUAGGAACAUACUGCGCAUGAAAAUGAAGGUCUUAAUUGAUGGCACUGGGGAUUACUGUCUAGCCUAGUAAAUAUACAGUUUGGACAAGAACUAUGUGUACUUUCUUACAAUUCUCUCUUUAUGUAGAAACUGUAUUGAUUUGUGUCUUUAGUCCCCAAUCCAUCCCCUACCAAGAUUUUAAGGGCUGGCUCUCCAGUGUAUUGCUGUCUGCACCAGCUAUUUCCAUCAUAGUCAGAGCCAUGUACUUAAAUAUCUCUUAUAUAAUUUACAUUUUCAGAUUUCACAAAGGCUUCUAGGCUUCUAAUUCACCCAGAAAGGCUUUGCCUUUGCUUUAAAGAGGUUCUUGUAGGACUUGCAAGUUCUGUCAAAGUGUAUUUUCAGAACUUUGGUAUUCUAGUCUUAGCAAAGGAAAGACGUUGGAAAGUCUCUACUCAAAAGAAUCUUUGUGAAAGGUCUUGAAAGUUGUCACAUUCAUAAGUAGUUCGGCCUCCUCUUAACAGCUGCUCCCCAGUGCCUUCUGCUCUAGAAGAAGUGCUUUUCAUUUUGAAGAGUUCUGGCAUUCUCCCGUGUGGUCCCCAAGAUCCCUCCAUCUCAACUGUGAGCAAAAAGGUGAUACGUGUUGAAUGUGCCUUGUGGACUUCAGAAUCUAGACCGUGGCCUUACCCUUGCUGAAUAAGAGGGUUAAGAACCUGUGAAGGAAUCUCAGCAAAAGGGUCCAGAGACAAUUAAACAGAGGACUCCAAACUUAGUCCAUGCAGGACCUCAGACAGUAUGGCUUUUGAAUGCUACCAAUCUGUAGCAGGCAAAACCUUAGUUUUGAACUAAUUCAUUAGACAUGCAUUUCAUUUGGUUCCUUGUGUUAUGAUUUAUUUGUGUUCAAGGUGUAGCUACUUUGUGAUCAUUCUUUUCUAUUCACGUGGUGAUUUAGGGCUUUUGUUUCCAAACACUCAUUUUCCAAGAUUACAGUUAGCAGACAACAACAACAAAAUGUUUAAAUAAAUUAUUCACCUGGAAAAUUCCGGUAGUUUUUUAAAACGUAAAUGAGGUGAUGUAAGUUACGUGAUUAAGUGCAAUCAUUAGGGAAAGACUGAUUAAAUUACUCCAAAUAAAUCUCCAAAAGAAUGAGUUGUGUGAUGCUGUAUUUUGCUGUAUUUUCCUGUUGAAGACAGCUAGCCAUUUUCAGCAGCAUCCUUUUAUGGUAAAGGUGCUACAGAUAAUUUCUUUGGGAGGGAAGGCUUUUUUUUUUUUUUUUUUUUUCUUCCCCCCAAGCCUUUAAUGAACGUGAAAUGGAAUUGGGAAGUAAAAUUUAAGCAGGUCAAUGGAAGGAUUCUAACACUGAAAAACGUCUAUUUUAAGGAAUCUCCUUUAUAAUGAUCUGAAUGUGAAGAGUUGGUGGUUAUCUACUCCUUAAAAGUUUUAAGUGUACUUUUAAAGCUGUCCACCAAAUCCAGAUAAUGCUUUCUAUUUCUUUUAUACUCAUGUCUUUCUGGUAGCGCAGAUAUGUACUCGAAUUCUAGCACUAAUAUUCAUAGCAGUUCAUGCUAAUAACAGAGAGUCCUCUGUGUCUGCUUUCUAGCAGAAUUCCCCAGGCAGACUUGUUCUGAAGCCCAUAUUGGUUAGGGCAGAAGUGCUGUGAGUUGUGCUGGGUGUUAGGCUGUAUUGGAAGAGCUCACAGGCAGUCGGUGCUGUUCAAACCACGUUCCCGUCUGUCCGUGCCAGGAUGUAUAUUCUUCACCUGCUGUCCUUCAGCCAGUGACUGCACUUGUUUUCAGCAGCCCCCAGCUGAAUUCACAUAGGUCUGUAAGCUACAGAAAGCCUGGAGUGGGGCCUUGUGGAGCACCUAUGAGUACACCUAAAUAUACUUUCUCUUCUUGUGGCUGCUUCUGUUUGCCAACUUAUGUUUGCCUGCUCAGAAGCAGUGUAAAUAGGAGAUAUGACGUAUUACCAUUGUGCCAUUGGAAGUAUACCCUUUGCAAGUAUAUAUAUUUUUUUCUUGUUUUCGACCAUGGAGUUCGCUCUUCUGACCUUAAGUUUGUUAUUAAAUACCAAAUGCAGAGUGUAGGAGACACUGACUUGCUUAGUUGGCAGAAAACGCAGAAGUAUUUGGUGCUGGAGUGCUGUGUGAUGUUGUGGCUGGCCAAUGAAGCGUAAUAAAUGCAAGAGCCAAGCCACUUUGGAGGUAUGAAGAGUCAGAGAAGCAUUAGAGUAAUUUAAAAAAUGUAAACUGUGGGUAAAAUCUAACAACAUCAUUUCUCUAAAGUUCUUUGUUAUUUACCAGACUUCCCUCCUGAAAACCUCCUACCCUAGAAUGAGAUGCAGUUUGCAGAGCAGGAGGAAGAUUGGUUUCUGUCUGGGGACACUCGGUUUAAAAAGACAGAACUCCGACUUUAUCUCUGAUGCGACUCGAGACCACUGUGGUUGUGUCUGUAUGAGUGUGCUCUGGGUGUAUUUUUGGGUAUCCUGUAAGUCAUUUUAUUCACACUUUCAAAAUGAGGGGACCCCAGUUAAUCUGCCUUAUAUAUCAAAGCUGGUUUUAUAGCUUUACAUAUAUUGCACUGUAGGGCUAGUCAAUAAAAUUUAAAAAUGAAUUUCUUAAUUCUUGCCCUCAUUUCACUCAAGGAGAUACAUGGUCCAAGCAAUUUUUCAUUUAUUUAGUGCUGCAGAUUUUAAGAUUUCCUGAACCAACUUGUUUCCAUCAGUUAUGGUUUUGCCAUUAGUUUUAGUAGGAAAAAGCUUUCCUAGCUUUUAAGCUGGAAAGUUGGUUUGUUUUUUCGCCAUCUACCUUUUCAGAGGAAACAGUGGUGCCAGUACAAUCUCAUUGUCCGUAUCUGCAUUUAUCAAAAUAUUGAACAACAGGCCCACCUAUCAAGUGAUUUUACAUAAUUAAAUUAUUACAAAUAACAUGACUGUAGUCACCGAUAGGAAAGUAAUUCUUUUUAAGAUCCUUUGAUGUCAAGAAAAUAGUUCAUGCAGGAGCUCCAAUGCUGCACCUUUUAAGCUGGAGAUUUUCAAUUAGAAAAAGGAAAAAAAAAAGGUUGAGCCCAGCUGCUAAUGCACUGGUGAAAGGUGAAAGGUAUUACCUGCUUGUUGAACACCUGGCAAAUGGAAAAGCUGUCCACCAGACAGUUACACUUUAUGCAUUGACAAUGAAAAUUUGUUGUCACUACCUUGAUUGCCUUCAUAGCGUGCCUGAAAUCUGUCCUGUAGCAGUGGCCAGAACAGUUUGGAGACAGCAGGGAUAUUUUCCUUGCCACUGUGAGUAGAAGAAUGACUUCUGUGAGCCUGAGAGGAACAUGGGUGCUGCUAACUCUAUGUCAAAGCACGUACAUGCGUUAGUAAAGCUUGAAGUAAACCUCUGAGUACGAUGAACAAUAUCUGGAUGUGUUAUGUUUUCAGGUGGGACCCUCUCCUGAUAUGUGACCUACAGCAAGCUACCCUGAAUCGUAUGAUGACAAUGUUAUCGCUGCCACAUCUCUGGAAACCAGUUACUCAUAAAUAUAUGGUAUGUGAACUUCUGCAUCUUACAUUAAGCACUGCUAGUUGGAGCAGCACAGUAACAAUAAUAUGAAGGUGCUAAAAGCUAUUGAAGUAAAUGUUAAGCCACAUGUAUAAUAAAUUACCGUCAGCCAUUCCAGCAGAUGUUUAUCUGCUAGGCCUGGUCCAUAUGCAGAAUGGUGAACUGUUUUAACUGCAAAUACAAUCUUGAAAAUGCAUUCAUUUACAGAUGUUGUUAGAAACCUACCGAUGUUUUUUUUGGAUGGAGUUAUACCGGUAUAACCAUGAUGUGCAGAUAUGCAGCCUGCUAUUCUCCUCCUCGAGCAGGAAGCGGUGGUGGUAUUGGCAUGAAGGGUUCUGUGCCUUAACUGUAUCGUUGCAUUUAAAGCACUACUAUUUUUGUGUUUAGGAAAGGCCUUUAAUUGCUUUUCUCCUUCAUUCCAUUUUCAGUUUCUGGUCAAUCUAAAUUAGAUUAAUUUCACACACAGUGACUCCCUAAAGAAGUGCAAAUUAACUCAAUUUUACCAAAUUCAGCCAGAUGAUGGCAGUUAUUCCCUUGCUGUUUAGCUGUACAUUAUACAGUCUUUGAAUAAGAUUUCUAUAGGAAUUAAAUCCAUAUAUUGAAUCUUUUUUCCUUAGCCUGUAAGACUAAGACCCUCACCUUGUGAAAGGAGGUUAUUUAAUUUCUAGCCUGCGAGGCAAAACUAGCCUGCUACCUGGCAUGUCUUUCUUUCUUACUCUUCUGAUUCAGGGACUGUAAAACCACAAGCAAACUGGCUUUAUGAGAACUGCUACAUGAUUGCUUUGUAUUCUGGAGUAGUUUUGUAGCAUACCACGUAACCAUUAGCAUGGAGCAUCUUCUGAUUUAUGGUUCCAGUCCAGCUCCCACUGAAGCUGGUAGGAAAAUGUUUCUUCAUGCUGAUGGGAGUUGAAUUGCACCGCAUGUGCCAUCUGAGACUUUUAAGUAAUGUUCCCCGUGGGAAAUUUUUUUUUUACUGAUAGCCACUUUUUUGAGAUCGAGUGUUAAAGAUAUAAGCAUAGAACAAAAUUACAAGGAAAGGAUUGUUGAAAUAACAUAGGAAAGGGCUCAGUGGAAGUCCGUGUGCAGAUUCAAGAGUUGUAAAUGGGUGAGGAGAGAUGACUGUUUGCCACAAAAGCGUUUAUCUGGAUUCUGUGUGCUGCAUUUUUACAUAUAAUUUGGGGGAUGUUUGUCAGAUGUGUGGCUGAUUUACUGUUAAUGUCAGUGAUGUAAGAGACAGAAAGUACAACAGAAGUCUUACAGGGAGUAGGGAGAGGAAAUUCAUGCUUCAUUAAACAAUUUGAUGUAUUUUGGGAGAGCCAUUCACAACUCAGAUAAUUUCUGAAUGUUCCGAUUAAUGAAGAAGUGACCAGAUCUGGCUCACUCUGGUUCUGCUUGAAGGGAACAUCCUGGAGAUUAGGUGGGAGAGCAUUGACCCUGCUUACACUGAAAGGGCUGCUAGUGUGUCUGUGUGGCCACCCAUGCAUGCCGAGUACAAUUAACACCAUAGUUUACAGAUUUUUUUCUACACGUUUGUUCUGACAUCUCCUGUAUCAGCCAUAUCUAAGAACCUUUUCAAGAUGAGCACAGGAAUAAUGAUUUCUGUUGCUCUUGUUUCUUCUGAGUUGAUUUAUUUUUUAGCACUCAAAAUUGCCAGUGGAUAUAUAUAGAUUUUGUAAAUAAGUCAUUUUGGUGUUUGUGGGCAUGUUUGUAAAGUAAAACUGGUUUGAAGAAAUAGAGUUUUGCAUUCUGUAUGGGCAGAGGUCUGGAGAGGAGCUGGUAGGCCAACUAGACUAGCUUCCUUUUGCCACCUUUUCCAAAGGUACCUUUUCCAAAGUAGAAUGGUUGUGUUUUGGUUGAUAUUUUCAUGAUUUUUUUAGGUGGAAGGUGGCAUAUCACUGGAAGAAGGGCCCUCUGAGGGGAAGGCUGAUGGGGAGGUGUGGUUGCUAAAGUGGUGACAGCUUGCAGAUCUGUGUGUUUGCUGGGGACGGAGAGGAAGCAGACACCUCUCUGCUCUGCUUCUGAUGAGCUGAGAACAAGGUGUGCUGUGUCUCGCACCUCAAGAGAACUUAUUAUAUGAGGUAAUUACCUCUACCCAAAUCAAAAUGAAAUUUCAUUUGUUGAAUGUAGGAAUCAGAAUGAAGGGUUUUUUUUGUUUUGUUUUUCCUUUUGUGUGUUUUGGUUUUCAUCUUUGGCUAAUUCUCAUACAGCGUUGCAACAGGAAACUAAUCUUCAGGAGCACAGCCCGUAAAAGAUAGGCCUUCUGAGGGACUGGACUCUGCUUAUUGCAGAGACCUUCCAAGACAGGUACAUUGUAAAAGAUUACAGACCUUCACAGGAAAUUAAAUUGGAUGUGAUGUAGUAAAAGAGUGAGAAAAUGGAAAGGACAUAUGUAGCACAUUUAUGAUGAUUAAGUGGUAAGAAAAUGAAAACAUACGAUGCAGUGAAGUGUAUGUAAUUUAGAUAUUGAUACACACUUUCUAGUAUUUUAAAUAAUCUGCCCCUCCUCUUCCCUUUGCUCUCUCUGUGUCAUUAUCUCAGUGUGGAAAAUCAUUAGCAUCUUGUAAAAUCAUGUUGAUUUGGGGCAUAUUAGGUUAUAAAGUGUUCCAAAACAAGUCUCAGUAGUAAUGUGGAGUGCUCUCCAUUGCAUCAUCCAGAGGAAGGUGUGUGGGGAGCCAAACUGGGAGUGCUGGGCAAGAGCUGCAAUCUUGGCUGGUGGCUCACCACGUGGUGAUAUGGUGCUGGUGGGACAAAACUCCCAGUCUGUCUCCUCCUCAGUGUCAGCUCAAUAGCGUGGGUGAGCUGGGCUCAUUCCUGUCCAGGUGCCUGUGGGCAGAGCACAGGUUUCCCUAUCAGGGAAUUCUUUCAAAGGGGACAGUAAUAACUUCCAACAUUUUAAUAACUUUUCUUAUAAGAUCUGGUUACCUGAAAUUGGAAAGGAUAAGCAGAACUCUGAGAGAUUUAACUUUAUUAAACAUCAUAAAUCCUUUCCCUUUUGACCCUAAUCAGUCCCCAGAGUCUUUUUAAUGCUCUUGACAUUGCACCGGCCUUUCAUCAUUGCACAAUAUACGUUUUCCUGUUACAAGGAAACCGGUGGUGAGAGCCCCACUUAAACCAGAGGUGAAGGCAGCAGCAGUAGGUUGGGCAGAAACUCACUGCCAGCAAAGAGAAGGAGGGAGCUGCACUUUGGCAGUACUCCUCAGCAUGUUCCUUCCAUCUGUGGAGAGGAGUGGAGGGGACCCGAGGGUGCCGGAGAAACCUCUCCCUGCAGUUUGUGAGAGCACUACAGACAACACAACAGUGCUUUUGUGCCUUGUGCUGGCACGGGGGCUAAACCUGCCUCAGAAAGCCUCCUUAUGAUUAGGCACUGCCCCACGUCCCCGGGGGUAGCAAGCAGCAGGAAGCACUCGCUGCAGGCCGGCCAGCUCAGCCCCAGGAGCUGUGGACAAGAAAGAGGUGGCUUAUGGCACCGGGAUGUGGGGACUGCCGGGCGGAGGUAUGGUGAAUGGGGCCCUUCUUCGCUGGGAAGGAGCCUUACCAGGUGGUCGAGGGAUGAGGAAUGAGAAACAAAGGCCUUCUUCAUAAAGCAGCUACCUGGGUUUCUGCCUUCCUGUCCAAGGCGCGCACAAAUCCUCCGGAAAGCGAAGGGGGAAUUCCCGGGCUGGUAGUCUGUCCUUCCUUGUGCUGUCCAGGAAUUCAUGUGAUGGGGAAGGCAUCCAAAGAAUCUGUCCCUAUGUGUAGGGAAGCUAAGUUCCCUCUUUUUCUUCCCUAUGUGCGAGUCAGCAAGUUUCUUCUGCAAAUGCCUUAAUUUUAAGCUUAAUGCUAUGCAAAUAUUUGGCUUUGGAGGUAAAAGCCUCAGGCUGGCUUCAGCUCACGGACUGGCUUCCAGCUGUUUCUACAGGUACUGAUCCAAUGUUUAUAUACACAAAUUGCUAUUUAUUUAUUUAUUGUGGUAACCUUUUAAAAGAAACUUGGAUAUUUGCCUAGCCUGUUUUUGCUUCAUACUUGAAAAUUGAUGUAUUUGCAAUGUGCGUACAGCCAUUUUCAGAAGCUUUGGCAAAACCCUCAGAUCUGCUGAAGAUAAUCGUGGUAGGCUGAAUCCUUAGAUAGCACAGAGUUGUUCUGACUGAUUUUUCCCGUAAAGAAGUGCCCAACACUUUGCUUACCCCUGGAAGCCCACCAACCUUGACUAGGAAACAAAGGUGUAGGAAGAGCUGGCACCUGCUGCAGGAGCUUUGUGCUGUAAUUUGGUUGUCUGGACAAGCAGUCACGGGGCAAGAGAACAUUCAGAAUGAGUGUCAAGAGUGCUAGCAAUACAUACGUUAACUAGGUUUCCAAAAUCUACUAAAAUGCUACCUUGAUGUAGAGCACAGUGUUCUAUCCACAUGUAUUUCACUUUCUCCAGCUCUCGUCUCAGCUCCUGCUUGCCUGCAAUCAGCCUCUUAUUAAAAGGGGAAAGUCCAUCGCCUUGUGGACCUUCUGCAAUGUGCUCAGCGUGUGAGCUAUUGACUUCAUAAAGACAAGAAUAGCUAUCUCAAAUGUGUUUCAUUUGCAUGUGGCAAGAUAGAAAAAGCAAACUCUGUGUGAAGACGAGCAGAUGAGAAAGACACUGAAUGCCUUAAAUGCUAAGGGAGUUAAUGCUAUGCAGUGAUUUUUGCUUCUGUUAUAGGAAGUGUAAGAACAGUACGCUUCCUAGCGUACAUCACCAUCUAAACUGCAAAGAUUUCAGUUCCAUGGCAACACGAGGAGCCCCAUGGUGCUUAAGGUGUACGUAUUAAUGCAUUCAGAGUUAGGGGCUGUUACUGAGAUGGUAAGAAUAAAACAUUCGGAAUAUCUCCCAUUUACUUAUUGAAGGCUUUGUUUAUAGAAAAUCAUCCACCCCCUCCCCCCCCCCCCCCCCGUAUUGUCUCCAGUCCUUUCUAUGUGUGUUUUUUUCUCAGACAAAAAGCAAAUGAAGCGAUUGUUAACUGGUGGUAUUUUUUCCAUAAGACUGUUCAGUGCAGCAGCACUUGAAAGUUGCAAGAAAAUGCUGUUGAUUUUUGGUACUGUUGUGUAUCUCUGGAGAGGAGGACUUGGUAGCAGGGGGGGAUUAUUUCUUCCCCAAGAUGUACUGCUUUAUAGACCAGAGUGAAGCAGUAUUUGGGGUUUUUUUAAUCAUUGUUUUCCUUAUUCUUUUUGAUCAGCCCUCUUUCUGCCUUUCUUUACAUCGACAUCCAGUUUCUCCAGUCUGAGGAGCAGGAAAUACGACUGAGCUCUGUUUCCUGGCAUCCAAAGAAAUAUACAAGUGCAAGGAAACAGAGUAUUUUGUUUCUGCCAGUUGCUUGGGUUUGCAAUGUGUCCCCAGUAAUGCACCUGGACAGAGCCUGAGUCCCCCUCUAGAGCAAGUGGGUGAGGGGCCAGGGAAGAACCCAGGCGAGCAGCAGGGCUAAGCUGGCACAGGAAGACUGACAGAAAUGGGCAAGUUGAACUGGUUUUACAGCUGUUUUGCAUUGCUGAAACAGGCAAAGCAGCCAGAGUUAUCGGUGGGUCUGGCCUGUAGAUUUCGUCAAGAUUUCUCUGUGUGACUGCAGAGAGAGCACAGCGCUGCAUUUGGAGGCUGGUUGGCUGUUUCCUGUUGCUGUGCCAGGAGGAAUAAAUUCAUCUCUCUGUUAUCUCUAUCUGUAUCUCUUUCUUUCUUUCUUUUUUUUUUUUUUUUUCAUUUGCUCACAACAGGAAUUUUUUUUAUUAAAAAUAAGGCUGUCAUUCACUGAAGGGGGAGGUUUUGCCUUCAGGAGUGCAGCACAACCCAAGUAAAUCCUUUCUGAGGACAUAAGGAGGAAUGAAAUGAUUAAGUGACACUGCACUGGCACUCUGCAGAGGGCCGAUUUCCACCCUUGGGCAGCAGAACCACAAAGCAAGGAGGUGUUGCAUGUACACAGCAUCUUCUAGGAGAGCUCAGCACUGGGAGCCCCGGCCAUGUGCUGAUGUUGCUUGUCCUUGUAGUUCUUGCUUAAAAAAAACCCACACAGGUGGAGCUCACUGACUAUGUGGCUGUACAAUUAAUGCAUGCUUGUCAAAUGACAUGGGGCCUCAAAUGAAGAGCAUUGUUCAUUCAUGGGCAUCUGUGCGUCAGUGUCCAACCCAGUGCAGCCUCUGGGUAGGCCAGAUGCUUUGGGGAGCACCUCAGUCAGUGUGGCAGGAAGGAUGGAGAGAAAGCACUGAGAAACUUCAAAGAAAGAAAAAAGGGAGGAGAGAAAUCAAGGGCAGGAAGAGAGAUGAGUGAGGAAACAGCAAAGGCGAAAGGGCCAGCGGAGAACAACAGGGGGCUGGGAAGAACACAGGGCAGGAAGGAGAGAAUGCUUUGGUGUGCUUGAGAAAAAAGUCAUUUUCAGAUGAAACGCAGACAAAAAGGAGCAAGAAAAUUACAGAAUGUGAAGUGGGAGAGGAUAUCAGAGUUGCAAAGGAGGAGGAUUCAAACUGAUACAAACAGAAAAUAUGUAUAACGUGUAUGGAUUGAUUUGAUGUGUUGGCCCAGCCAAUUUUAAGUAGCGACUGGUAAGUCUGUAGCAGGAAAGGGCUGUGCCAUUCUUCAUGAGGAAGCUUUGGGCUGGUAGGGAGCAGCAGGGCCAUGUGGGGAGACUGCUGCAGGUCCCAUGGCUGGAGCUGGAAGCGUAUCACUCCAUCUGCAAUGUUUGCUUCUUUCUGUCUCUCUCUGCAGGGCCUGGACUGCUGCCAUCUCCCUCCUUGGAGAGCAGGGUAGUGGAGCACCUGCCACCAAGGAGAAAAACUGCCUAUCUUGCCUUCAAAGGCUGGUGGCCAGAAAGAUGUGUCUGGUUGUCUUCUCGUUUACCUGAGCUGCUGUUAGGCAGGCAGGUAUAAGGUCUCUGUCUAUAUCCCUCUUGUGCAAGCUAUCUAGGCUACCAGAAAUAAACAGCUGAAUGGAAAUUUUACUUCUGGCUGUGAAAAGUGGCUUUUGAAUGAAGUCUACUUCAAAUAACAAAUGCCUUCUUUCCUCCUCCUCCUCUCCACCUACUUUGUUCCUAACCAUUAACUUUUCAUGUCACUUGAGCUAAGUUCAGUGUCAGACUCACCAGAUCCUACUGAAAAACACAUCUCUCUUUUGUGGCAAGCUGAAGAAGAUGAGAGGCUUGUGGUGUUUUUCCUUCUCAAUCUUUGCUCCUCUGGGAAAAGCAGCUAAGGCUGUGUGAAGCUGCCUCCUUCCCACUCUGCUCAAAAAUGCCUCUCCAUCAACUGCUUUGAAGCUUCUCUUAAGGAGGCUCGGCCUGGCCUGCUCAGUGCCAUCAUCUGCCAGGGGAGGUUUUCUCAGCUUGUGGUGGCUUCCAUCGUGGUAGAAGGCUGCAGAAGAUUGCUGUGGAAUAAGUCAUCAUCACCACUAGCUAUGCCAUUUGAAAAUCAUUACUUAAGCAUGAAAGAGAAGAAAAAGAUGAAACAUUAGGAGAUUUAAACCCUACCCAAAGCUCCAAAUAAUUUCUGCCAUUUCUGCUUUCUGUUUCCUAAUCAUAGGCUGCUUCUGCCAUGAGAGGAAAUGGCAGUCACUGGACAGUGGUGCUUGAAAUAUUCUGCGGCGUGCACUAAUACUUAUGGUAAAGAUGGAUGUAUUUAUGGGAAACAAAUGGAGAUCUGAGCUUUCCUGGGGACCUUAAUGGUAUUAUCUGUUAUAACUUACGUGCUAAUACUUGCUUAUUUUGAUCGGUGCUGAAAAACAGGAUCAGAAAAUAGAAUGUGGACUUUGGGUGCUGUCACACAAUGAUGAGUCAGCUGAAAUUGAAGCCAGUUCAAGGUUUAAGUAUGAUCGUUGAUGUUCUUGAAAAACAAAAUCUCUCAACCAGUCAGCAGCUGAGUUUACUUCUCAGCUGUUAGACAAAAGCCACCCUUUGCAGGGAUGCUGUGUGACAGAAGGAACUCUUUCCUUUUCCCUCACCUUGGCCAUUAGUCCAACAGUUAGGAAUCAGAUUUAACCCUUGGUGUUCGUUGCAGGCUUUGUGAGUCUUUUCCAGCAUUGAAAAAAGUAUUUUUGAUAGACACACUAGUUUGUUGAUUUGUUUGCAAUCAGUUUUCCCGGAGGUUGCUGUAAUGUGGGAGGAACUGAGUUCUUUGGGUGCAAACGUUCACUGCUGACUCUUCUUAGUCAUUAGAUGUUUUUCACAUUAAGGUGCUUUUACUUUUAUGGGAAAAUGUCAAGCAUCUUCUGAUAGUAGGCAUUCAAAUUGACAGAAGCCAUUGGCUGGGGCCAAUGCAGCAUCACGCCAGCACAGACCUCGAGGGGCCUGCAGAGCCCUGUUCCCACCCAUGCACCCCUGCUUUACCUCCUGAACCAGCCCUAGGUCCGACAUCCUGGUACCGACCUACAUCCAUGCUGAUGUGCCACCAAACUGAAAGAUGUCACUGUUCUUUUCCAAAAAGAACGUGUCUUUUUAUACAGUUCCCCUGCCAUCUCUUUUUAUUUUCUAACUGCAGCUCUUUUAAGGCUCCCUGCCUUUGCAGUUCUUGCCUUUGUUUAGAUUAUUUUUGGAAACUGGGGAACAAGAGGAGGGAUGAAGUUCAGGGGGCUGACUGUACUAGGAGGCCGAAACUCUUUCUGUCUGUGUGCUCUUCCCUCUUCUUUCUUCUCUCCAUGGCAGGGCAGGUUCCAGGGCACGCCAUGGCCUCAUGCACAAAACGUGGCUGGCACAUGUGCCGACCCCCCCUUCCUUCCUGGAACCACCAUCAUUGCUCUUCUGCUUUCCUGGGUCAGCUGGGCAAAAGGUUUGAGAGCUGUGAGUUUUGAGAGCUGUGGAAUACUGGGGAGCACUUGCACCUUAAGGUAAAUUGUAUGCAGAGAGGAAUGUGUUUCCUUUAUUAUUUUUCAGUGAGGCAGCCCCACAAAGGUUGUUGGCCUUUUCUUUAAGUAUUGUCGUGUUUUUACAUCAGGAGUGUCACACACUGGCUGCCAAGCUUGGCAAGAAAAUCUACAUUCUCUGGAAGCCUGAGGAACAGCAGCUGAAGCCCGAAGGCGGCUUUCUCUGCAUAGGUUUUUUAAGAUAGUUAGCGCUUGGGAAGUCAUUGGCUGUGAGAUAGGUCAGGCUGUCCUCUUGAUAGCUGAGACAGUACUCAGGUAAUUGAGAUACUUGUGAUUGCCCAUGGAAAUUUGCUGAUGUUUAUAAUACUGUCAGGCGCUAAAGUCACUCCCUAACAUUGGUUGUGGGAUCUUAUAGUGGAUCAAUAUCUAAGCACAAUGUGGGAAUUUUCCUCACAUACGUAUUUUUUUUUUUCUGUGGUUAUGAAGAUGCCUAAAUAGCAGUAUGCUGCAGUAAAUGUUAAACAUUAAAAACUGGUUCUGUGUGUACUGAUAAGAGUAAAUCACUAGAGAAGGAAGUAACCUGAGUUUGGCUGGUGAAGCUGAUGCAUCUAUGGUGGAAAUCAAAGUGGGGGAUGAUCACAGUCCUAAUUCUGUCUUUGGAGAAUAGAUUUGAGUCAACAAGAAGAGAGAAUGAAUAUGACUUUUCCCUGAAUUAAAAAGGGAGGGUAGAUGAUUCUGUACAAGAAGCUGCACAACUGAUGCAAAAAGUGAGCCAUAUGUAGGGAGAGGGUAAUCAACAGAACAUGAAAUACUCUUUGAAAAUACAUUGAAAUUGAGUGUUGUUUGUUGUUGUUGUUGUUGUUGUUUUUAAACUGCUGUGCUGUAGCAGAGAUCAGUUAAUUCUGUGAUUCUGUGAAUGGUUGUGCAAAGUGGUCGCUUAGAGGAACCAUAGAAUCAUAGAAUGGCCUGAGUUAAAAAGGACCACAGUGAUCAUCGAGUUUCAACCUCUCUGCUACAGGCAGGGUUGCCAAGCACUAGACCAGGCUGCCCAGAGCCACAUCCAGCCUGCCCUUGAAUGCCUCCAGGGAUGGGGCAUCCAUAAUCUCUUUGGGCAACCUGUUCCAGGGUGUCACCAUUCUCUGAGUUAAAAACUUGAUCCUAAUAUAUAACCUAAAUCUCCUGUUUCAGUUUAAAACCAUUCCCCCUUAUCCUAUCUCUAUCCACCUUCUCCUAUCCCCCCUUGUCCUAUCACUAACCAUCCUUCUCCUGGCAUUCCAUGGUGGAGCAUGGACGCCCUGUCGGCAGGAAUUUAUUGUCACCCACCCCAGUGCUCAUGGCUGGCGCUCAGUGAGGUCUUCUGGGGCUAAUUAUUUAUUUAAUGAGGAGUGGUCACAGUGGCACUAUGAGAAGGGCAGCCCCGCAGCAGGAGGUGUCUUGGAGGUAAUCCCACUGCUCACAGAUAGGCUUCUUGUGCAUACUAUAAAUAAAUAAAGUAAUGAAUAACUGUAUGUUGGCAUUUUUGUUUAAGCUUAUUAACAGUGGCUAAUAGUAUUGAAAGUGCUUUGGGUACUACCAUGCUUUGUAGUUCUCUAAUUUCUUGAAGAAGUAGUUGAAAGGCUUGAGCAGCAAGUUAAGAAAUCAGGUUGCUGCUGACUGAACUUUUGAACUUUUCCUAACAAAAGGGUAGGUCCGCGAGAGAAGAGUCAAAUUUAUGUGUGUGUACACAUGAGCAGUCCAGAUGAUUUCACUCCAAAGAGAGAAAUCUUCCUCUUUUUAGGCUAAAUAGGCAUGACAAUGCUGCUCCUUAGUUCCACGUGUUUCAAAGGUAACAGUGAGUGCUGGUGAUUCAAGGGAGCCUCAGGAAGAAAGGAAUUUGAGCGUAACUUAAGAGAUAAAAGCUAUUGUUUGACACGAGAUAUUUGGAGCGUCUCUACAAGAUUUUAGAUUGUGUGUUGGUUCAGGAAAGAAGAGAAAGCAAAGCAAUGAAAUCCUGUGGUUAUGCUUUUAUCAAUACAUUUGAUUUUUUGGAAGAAUGCAUUCUGGGUCUGAUCCUCAUCUUCUUUCCCAAUUACUGAUUAAUAAGAAAUAAAGUCUUGCAGAGAAAAGCUUUCAUGCUUUUAAAUUUCAUGGUCUGUAGCGAAGGACAAAAUGAAGAAAAGAAGAAGGACAAAAUGUUUUGAAAAACAUGAGAAAUGGGCAGUUUUGAUGUACCAGGCACAGCUCAGGCUGGGCUCAGUCAGUGCUGCACUGCAUUCACUGACUGCCAACUGGGCCCAUUCCCCUUCAGCCCGGUGAGGUGGCAUCCUGUGCAUGCAGUGUCAGGAUGUUCCCUGCCUCCCCCUGCCCUUCCUGCAAUAUUUUAAUUUCACUAUUCCAGCCGAGCAGAAGCUGUCAGCAGCAGCAUCUGGAGCAGCCUUGUCCUCGAGUGAGUGGCUCUUCUCUCUGCUUCAGGGCAGACAGCGGCAUUGGCAAGGCUGGAGCAACAGGACUUGGAUUUUGGGAAGUUUUAAGCUGGUUUAUGCCUGUGUUUUAAUUGUAACAUUUGACUGUAUUGAAUAUAGGAACUGUUCUCAGCAGGUCUUUGUAUGCGUGAGGCUGUUUGAGCUGGAAUCCUGUGUUACAUUGCUGUAGGUGGAUGCUGCGAUGAGGGUGGUAAAGGAGAGCAUCUUCCCUCUGCUGCCUUUCCCCGCUCCCCGCUUUCUGUAAUCCCCAGUCAGUCUGUGCCUUCCCUGGCCAGACAGAAUUACAGUAGGUAUACACUCGGAAUCGGGUUUUUAUUGUCAGCACCUGUGAGCAAUCAAAGCUUGUUUGUGCAAAUUCAAAAUGAAACUUCAAUCUGAAAUGGGUGUGAUUUCAGAACAGCUUGUUUGCAGCCAUUGUUACUCUUUGCCAAGAAAUAUAAGGCUUUACAGUAACUCCUAGGUAUUGCUCUAGUUACUGUGCACUAGAAUAAACCCAUCAUGUUUCAUGUCUGACUUUAUUUGGUCCCUUAAAGCCUAGUGGCAUACAUAUGAUGCGAGCAGACUCAUGAGACUACUGCAGCUGUAUUAUUUUUCAUUACCGUGUUCUAAAAAUUCAUGUUAAGAAUUUUGGUGAAGAAUGGAUCAUUGACAUAUUUUUAGUUAAUAUCUUGGAAUAGGGAAGUACACCAUCCUCAACUUACAGUCACUCAGCUGUGAACGAGCUAGAUACGGAGUGGACCCAGAGUGAAUACAGAGAAAUGAAAAAUCCUCAGAUCACUUAGUUGCAGCUGCAGAUGAGAUUUUUGCCAUCAGGUGAUAGUUCCAGAAUCCAGGUUCCCGGUGUGUAAGAAGAACAUCCUUACUCUGAUGGUUUGAUUUGCUUUAAAACUUUGACAUAAGAACUGUUGUUUACCGCUAGUAGUGCUACCAACUGGAACCAGGGUAGACUGUUACACAGGUAGUAGUAAGUUGACAUUUAACUAUAAGUAUACUUAUUUCCAAAGAUAAAAAUGUAGGCUUUUAUGCUUAAUAUCUGAAAUAAACUCACUUCCCUCCACCAAUUAUUACUUACCUGAGAUUUCAUCAGAGGUGUUUGCAUGCACAGGGAGAUGUCCGAUUCAUACUUUCAUAUGGAAAAAAUAAGUAAUUAUGUAGCCUCAGCAGACUCUAUUUCUAUGGUGUUUUAAUUUCACUUUUCAAUUAUAAUCAGUAUUACCUGUUUUGUCACUGCUAGCAUGAGAAGAAAAGCCCUAAGAAACUGAUGUGCAGGCAAAAGGAGAAUAGCAUAACUAUUUUUAUGUUCCUUACAUCAGUGUCCCGGUUUGUCUAAUGUUGUAUGGCACAGUGACUCCAGUGCUCCACACUGUUCUGUCCUCAGUGAGCCAAACAUCUAUUCCAAGAUUGCUGUCUGCUUCACAAGUUGUAGAAACUUUCGAAAAAGAAUUUGCUAAUUUGGGGUGCUCAUUCAUUGUCUGCUUGGAAAGCUGAUUGUCUCUAUGUUUUCAGCAAACAAUAUUCUUACACUAUCCUUACAAUGUCCUUACAAUAAUAUGUAUUCCUAAUGGAAUUCUUUUGGUCAGCAAGGGAGAAUUCAUCUGCUUAGGACUUCAGAUGCUUCAAUUCAGAAAACCAUCAGGAAGCACUGCUGCACCAGGGCACCUCUUCAUUCAUUUAUGCUUAUUUAGCUGGGUAAUGACAGUUACCAUUGUGAUUCCCCUUCUGUUCUGUACCUUUCUUCAUUUUUAUUUCCUUGCAUUGAAAAGCACUACAGUGUUACUACUGGGAACAUCCAGCACUGUUCCUGCCAGUCCCUUAUUUUUCCAUAUGCCCUUUCACCUCAGAGAGAGCGCCAUCACUGCCCAUCCGUCAUGUCUCCCAUUCAUACCUAUUCUGUACAAGGUUUGCUGGGUUUCUUUUUGUUUCAGGAACACGGGCUUUUGCAAAGCCUGUUGGCUUCAGAAGCACUUGCACAACUUGUACUACGUCUACUAUAUCAGAACCGACAGAACUGGCAGCUCUUUUAAAAAACAAAAACAAACAAACAAAAAAAGCCCCAAAACAGGUAAACCUGCAAAAAAAAAAAAUUAAAAAAAACCCUCUUCCAAAUGGAGUAAUAUGCCUGUUAUAGAGAAACAAAGGCUUUUGACUCUUCCUUGUUCAGACAGCCCCUUGGAGGUAUGGAUUGCUUCCCCUUAAUGAGUAUUGACCGGGUCUGGGAGACACAGCACCGGGAUCUUCCAGAUGGGUGCCUGCUGGGGUUAACCCCUUCUGCAUGUCAGCAGGAGACUGAACUUCCAAGCACUGGGUUCCCAGCCAUUUGAAGGCUGCUGGGCUGCAUGCGCUGAGGCUCUGCAGGUUACGGUGUGCCUGUGGUGUGUGAUGGAACAGGCGGGAAGUGCUGGGCUGGGGCACCCCGGGACACCACUGGAUGUGUCUGCUCAGGGCUGUUAAAUUAGGCCACGUGCACACAUAUAUAUGCGUGAGGGAAAAGUGGGGGCCUUGCAAAGCACUUGGGCUAAAAAUAAUGUCCGGUGUUGUUUUUACGUAAUAAUGCUAUCACAGAUGAAGAAAGUGAGGGAGGAGUUUGUAGCCUGGGACAUUUCUUCUUUCCUUUGCUUUGCAGGGUAAACGCUAAAGAUCCUGGAGUGUUUGUUUGGCUAAGUAAUGCUUUCCAGAAGUAUGUCAAUGAAGUAGUCAUUGAAGUCAUAGAAUACCUUCCUAUAUUUAGCAUUUAAAUAUGCAGUAGAAAGCCAUUAACUUUUAAACUCCUAAGAACCGUAAGCAUUCCUGCAAAGGAACUCAGAUGUUCAAGUGAGCCAAUUAAGGAUACGGAUUUUACUACUGCCAGAAUAGUGCAGUAAGUGUUGUGCCAUCAGUGGUUGGGGUAAGCUCAGUUACAUCCUGCUGAGUGUGGUUGCUGUGAGGGCACGUGCAGUAUCCUCAAACUGUUGAAGGGGCAGGAUUGCUGUGGGGUUAUCACUUGGUUAGUUAAUUUGGAGGACCGUGCUUUUCCCUAGAGAUUGAUACUAAAAAAUCCAGUUAUGCAGACCCGUACAAUAGUUUAUGUGAGAAAGGAAUCUCUGGGCAUCUUCUUUCCAGCCCCUGCUCACAGCAGGUGCGUGGUUUUGCAUGUUGUCGUUAUCUCACCUGCAUGUGAUCGUGAUGAUUUAUGCAAGAAAGAUUAAUUAAUCAGAACUUUUUUUGUGUGUGCAUGUGUAGACAAGAGGCAAGUGCCAAAGAGGGGUACAAACUGAGUCCAAAGUGUUUUACAGAGGUGGUGGAGAUGGCAUUGAAGUGCCACCAAAAAUCCCACCCCACUUAACACGUAUGAGUGCUCAUACAGAAGGCAAACAUCGCUCUGGGGUAGCACAAGGGACCUAAUUGGAACAUUUGUAACUUAAUUUUAAAUCGUUGUUGUCAUUGUGGGUUAAUAUACUGAAGGAAUCAGUAAAUAUGCUGAAGAAAUUGGUAGGUAGUAAAAGCGAAGGCUAUACAACAGUUUAUAGCCAGUGGUUCUGUUUAGGCUUAAUCCCCGUAAUGCCGUGUUAAAAUUUACAAAACAGCUUGUAAUUGCAGGAGCUUAUUUAAACCAGCUAUUUGUGGUUAUGUCUGCUGAGGAAACUUAAACUUCAGCGUUCCCCAGCCAUCUAAUAGCAGCAAAUUGACUGCGGGUCUCUUGUAAGAAUAUCUAAAUGUAGGCUGUUGAAUAAUCCCUUUGGGGGCCCUGUAACUAUUUUUGUGCCUGGAUAUGCGUCAUCAGUGGGUAUUUUCUCUGGUGACUAGCUUACAUCAGUAGGUCUCCUACCAUACACUCUAUCAGCAAGUGACUUAUGAUUGAUGGGAGUCACGGCCGCGCUUGGGCAUUUAUCUGUGACCUCAAAUAAUGGACAACGGGAAUCUCCACGCUGUUAAAUCCCUUCGAUGACGGGAGGUACGGGCUGCCCGUGCUGGGCGAUGCAGGACUAUUUACUUGAGAAGCUGAGAGUGAGCUAGAAACAUUGAUGAAGCCUCUAUUCUGUGAGGUGGGUAUGCAUUCUUAUUACUAUUUUGCAAAAGCACAGAAGAUUGAAACCACUUGCCCAGGUCCAGACACAGAGACAGAGCUAUUUAAGAGCUGUGAAUGGAGUCCAGGAAUCUUCUGUCUCAAAACAUGUUCUGGCUGAUCAGUACUUAGGAAUAAGGUCUUCAUGUGCCCUCCUGGUGGAGGAAGUGAUGAGCUCUUGCGUUCUGUUAUCAUUCAAAGUGGUUCUUUCAAUUUUCGAUUUCUGACUAAUGGCAUAAGUGACUCUCACUGAUACUUGUGCAGCCCUGUCCCCCACCCCUGGUGUGCAGCACAUUUAGGUCACAUUUUUGGGAGGCAACAGUCAGUGGAAAUCAGAUGUGUUCACUGGAUCCAGGUCAGACAGUCUGGGGUCCAGAAAUGCUCAGUGCAUUUUGUUCUUUUUUUAUUUUUAUUUUAUCCUUUUGUCGUGGUCAGAUGCACCAGCAGGCUCUUAAUAAAUCCCUUCUGUGUGACUUGCAACUUAGAUUUGCAGACCCACAAGGAGUGGAUGAUUUGAAUAACUGUGAGAAGUGAAACUGAGUGUUUGUAGGUGCAUCCCCAAGCAGCAAAAGCGAUGUGUUGCUGUAGUUUUGGUAGCCUUUGUCUUAACGAUGUGCUGCAUGCAAAACCAUCAGCCCCACCUGCCCCAUGCCAUCGCGUCUCAGAUGCAGAGCCUCUGUGUUUCUGCAUGCUGUUGCCCAGCCCGUCUCAAAGGGCCCCACUCACAAGGGGUUUUGUUCAGGCAGCAGCCCAGAAAAACUCUCUUGGGCUCCUCAGUUAUUCACAGCAGUUUUCCUUUCGGCUUUGUGAGAGAAACCUAGUGAGGAGGCUUCUGCCUUCUGUUGCACUCAAUUGGAAUCCUGGGUCUGCGGUGGCAAGGAGUUAAAAGUCAGGACUGGAAUUUAUCUCCUUAAAGAUUUUGGCUUUUUUCUCUUUAAACCACUCUUUGCCUUUGAAAACCUUUUUUGAAUAAAUCACUCUGAAGCACCAGAAUAUAUAUUGUUAAAAAACAAAUUUAUGUGUGCUAGCAUUUAUCAGUUUGGUGUCUAUUCACAAGUACAUACAGUUAUUUAGCUCUAGGCCCAUAUGGCUCCCAUCUCUGAGCAAAGGGGAGCAGAGUGCUGGGGCACAGCCUGAAAGUGGGAGUAGCAGAAAAGCCAUGUUGAACGUGUUUUUCUGUGACAUCAUGGUGGCUCCUCAGGUAUCUCUCAGUUCAUAUGGAAAAAGUAUUAAAAAUAUGACACAGUUUAAUGCUAAUAUUAGCUUCACACUCUUCUCUGAAGAAGGAAUGAAAAUACUUGGAGGACAAGUUGCCUGUGUGCAGAUUUGGCUUCUGGGUAACGUGAGCUAUGCAAAAGCUUUCCCUACUUCAUAAACUUUUCAGUACACAUUAUGGUUGUUAAUUAAUAUUACAUAAUGUUAUGUUUUAAAUCUUUACAUCUGUGCACUUUGUUAAAAUUGAGAUGUUUGGCCUACUUGUUAUCUGCUUAAUAGGGCUGUAAGAAAACUGAGAUGCUUCCACUCUCAGACCUCCCAUUUUGCAAACAUAAGCACCAUUUGUUUUGCUCAGUUCCAGAGCAUUCAAGUUCAAAAUCGAUGAUGAAAUUUUUAAGACCUCAUUUGACUAGAAUUAUGCAAAUCCACUGAUGUACUGUAACAUACCUUGAGACCUAUGGGAGGGAAACUACCUGCUCCUUCUGCCGUGGAGCCCCAGCAGUGAUGCGUGGAAGGAUCACGUUGCCUGUACCACUGCGGUGCGGCCAUUGUCACGGUGUGACUGCCUGCCUCAUGCUGCUCAAAAACACGAGUUGCUUAUUUCACUCCCUAGGCUUGAACUGGCUCCCCACAGUCUCCAAAACUGACAAGUCAUGAUCUAAUGCUAGAUGUUCUAGUUAUUAGUCAAUUAUUUCGUUAUUGGUUGUCAUCGGUUUGGCUUCUGCAGCCAGUGGGUGGGCAGCUAGGUAUUUUCCUUGUGUUGCAGCUCUGGUCAGCAGGGAAGAGAACUAAAAUUGUGACCUCUGGUUUGAAGACUACUUUGGACUUCAGUGCCUAAUCCUGACCCACUAGAAAUAGUGUCUGACAUUACAGCUUUCUGUCCUUGUUGGGGCAUUUAGUUACGUUGUCACCAUCAGAGCAGUUAGAUGAGGUGGAUAAACAGAGAAUCAGCUACAGGGGAACAGGAAGCAAAAGCUGGCUGGAAGAAAAUUGAAAACUGCAGCACAUUCUGAAAUAUUUCACCUGUGCUCUAAGCUGGUACAACACCCUGGAAGGCCUUACACAGUAAGACAGCUUGUUUCAGAACACUCUAAAUCUUGCCUCAAUUUUACUUUGCAGAAGGAUAUCAUGCUGGUGUACCAAUAUUCCAGCUCUUGUAACUCAUUAAAUUGUAAUUAAUCCAGCAGUACAACUGCUGUUAAAUGUUAGUAUUUCAGAAAACUAUUACUUUCAUAAUGCUUCAUUUAAACCAGGGACAACAUUUAUAUUGUGGUGGAACUUUUAAGUUCUACCAAAGCACUAUGCUUUCCUUUCUGGAAACACUUUCAUUGAGAAACACUAUAGUCAGUUAUGCGGUGUUACAGGUUUUCUUGUUUCUUACUGUAUAGUUUCAAUUUCUGAGAAGGAGGGAGUGUUGUCUUCUUUCACUGCCCGCAGGGUCUGUGAACCCCUAGGGUUACACAUUUACAACUGCGGGUGAUUUCAGCCCAGACACGGUUGACUCCAUUUAAGGGAGAAUAUUUGCAACCAAAUGGUCUCAGGAAUAAAAAUGCAACUCUUCACGUGCACAGUUUUGCCAGUGCAGGACUUGCACAUGCUCCUAGAUGAGAACCAAAAGCUUUGAAUUCAGCUUGCAGAGAGGAAGGAAUUUGUCUGUGCUGCAGCAAAAGGAAGUAUUUGCUGUGUUAUUGUAGCACAUGGCCUUUUGCCAUCCUUGAUAAAGCAAUCCAGGGCUGUGCACCCAAAGUCUGCUGCCCUCAUGACCUUCCAUCAAUCACCAGCUGCGUGCAGGCUGGAUGCAGUGCCGGCUCCAGAGGUGAUCCAUUGUUUGCUCUGAAAGCGGGAAGUGCAGACAAAGCAGCCCCUUGCAAUCCCCUGCUGCAGCUCUGCGGGGCUGCUCCAUGUGCACCUCUGCUGACUGGAGGUGGGGGUGUCAGCCAUGGGGGUGCAGACUAGCUGCCUGGGACAGGCCUCAGGGAUGGUUUUUCCACAACAAAAAGGAAAACUGGAGUCAAUAUUGUAUCGCUGCACCUUGGUUAUGUACUUACACUUACUUCCUUCUUGACUGUUCAGCACUGCUUGUAGGUGAGGCUUAAAACGUGGAAUUCGCACACUCUGAAUGACCCAGUCUCCUUGUUUUUUUCUCCCUUCAAGCAGUACUGGUUACAGAUAUGCCAGCAUUGUUGGUAAGCAUGCUGAGAAUCAUGGAAUCAUAGGAUCAUUAAGGUUGGAAAAGACCUCUAAGAUCAUGAAGUCCAACCAGCAACCAUCACCACCAUGCCCACUAACCAUGUCCCUCAGUGCCAUAUCUCUAUGCUUUUUGAAAACUUUUGGAGUUGGUGACUGCAGCACCUCCCUGGGCAGCCUGUGCCAAUGACUCACUGCUCCUUCUGAGAAGAAAUUUUUCCUAAUAUCCAACAUGAACCUCCCCUGGCCCAACUUGAAGCCAUUCCCUCUACUCCUAUCAUUGUUACCGGGGAGAAGAGCCUAAACCUCACCUGGCAGUACAAAAUAUUUUCACACACACAUUGCUGUCUCUUCACCAGGGUCUGCUUGUGGCGUUGCGAAAUCUGUGAUCUUUGUCAAUUUGCCUGUGCUAGCUGAGAUAUUGUGGAAAGUUUCAGCCUCUUGCAAGCUUUAACAGUGACUGCAUUGUGAUAAAACGAGAAUGGAGUUUUAUGAUUUCUUUAAAACAUGGGAAGGGGUCUUUCAUUUUUACAGACACCUUACUUAAGGUACGCCCAUGUCCUUGGCUGACUUCUCUUUGGAACUGGUUUAGGUUCCUGCUGUGAAACCAAGAGAGUUCCCCAGGUGCCAAAAGAAAAAGCUGAGAGGAGCGUAACAGGAUGUUCAGGAGAGAAAGGGAAAAUUGUGCCAGACACUGCAGAUAGCAAAGCUCCCAGCCUUGCAGAUGCCUGGGCUCCAGAAAGGCUUCAGGCUGGAGCACUUUGUGCUGCACUCCAGCUCACGGUAUUUCUUGUUUUUAGCAUACUGUACUGCUCUGUUCCUGUUUAUAAAUCUUGUAAGUGUGCACAUUAAAAAAGUAAUUAAAUUGUCAUUAUAAUUUAUAGUAUGCCUGCAGUCAAUCACCUAAUUAAACAGAAAGAGCAGGGAGGUAGUAGGUUCAUAAGCAUUUAUUAAGUACUGCAGUAUUAAUUAUGCAGGACUUUUGAACCAUGCAAAAGAGGAAAGAAUGGAAACACUGAUCUAAAAAUGCCUUCCAUUGCUGCCCUUCUCAAUUUAACAGCAAGACCUCCCCUCCAGUUAGUAAGACAACACUAAUGCUUUCUUUUUGUUAAUUUUUAAUGAUGUUAUGAUGGAUUUUUUUUUUACAAAAAUCACUUGCAGCAUUUUCUUUUAAUAUUUUUUAAAAGAAUAAUGUCCCUGCAUGGGAUUUUAUCAAUACGCUGGCAGAACUGGAAGAUAUAUCUAAAGCUUGAUUUGGGACAGGUUGUGCAGGAAUGGACUCCCCUGCUCAUUUUUCAACGUGUCGGGAUGGGAGCAGAGCACGCACUAUCUGCUCGGGCAGCCCCCAGAAAUGGGCUGCUGGUUGGUGAGAGUGGGGGCUGAUCCCAACAGAGGUGCUCAGCCAGGAGUGUGGACGGAGGGCACUGUGAUUAUGAGGACUUUACUUUUUCAGUGCGGCCUUUCUCCCACCUCAAGCUGUGAACCAGGGCACAAGUUGGUGGCCAGCACCAGCCUGUAUGUCAGGGCAUGGGGAACAGUUGUGCUUUCCAUUAGUGGGCCUGGCAAACAGGGCUAUCUUCCAUAUAAGUGGACGGGAAGGUGUAGAGACUUACCUGCUUGAACUGUCACUGUCAGUGUGGUGUAACAUACUUGGAGCCUAAUUGCACAUGUAUCACUUUAACUUGGAAUGUAUUAAAUAGCAAUUCAUUGGCAAUGGGUAAGUACAAUGUAUUGUCAACAUCUAGAAUUUGCGCUUGAGUUAUUUGGGAGCUAGGAACCAUUUCAGUAGCUCUUCUUUCUGGAAGAAUUUGCUAUUGGAACGUAAAUCCCUGCUAAAGGCCAUUUCUUUUCACUGUCUUUAUUAAGCUACACUAAAUUGACAGCAAAAAUAGCAAAUAAAUAAAUAAAUAAAAAUUGAGACUGAAAAUUUGCUGUGUAUAAGUUUUUCUUCUAUACAGAAAACAUUAAAUCUAUGUGGCCUUAAGCAGUGCAGUUUUCUGUACCGAGCUGUUUCACUGAAGGCUGAAAAGGUGGGGGAGGGCUGUAUGCCACGCAGGAGUGCAGGCAGGAGAAUUUGCAAUGCUGUGCCCUCGUCCCAUAGACCUGCAGUGACAUGGGCUCGAGUGCCUGGCUGGAGGGAGUUCUGAGGGUAUGAUUUAAUCCAAUGAAAGCAAUAGGUUUUGUUGCUGUUUCAAAAGAUGCAAUUGGGAUUGCCUUUGUAGCAAAGAUAACUUUUUACCUUAUAUGGAGCAAAUCAAAUUAUUGACAGCUCUUGAUCUCAGCACUCCUAAUUACCUUAUAAUGAGCAGUCAUUAUGGUUCAGGUUAGCAAUGCAGCAGCAUUAUAUAAGAAAUGUAACUUGUCAGUUGCCUGGAAGAAAGGAAGAAAGGAAGAAAGAAAGAAAGAAAGAAAGGUAGAAAGAAAGGUAGAAAGAAAACAGUAAUUGUGGCCUAACCAAGGUCUCAGGUGACAUAACAGAAGUAGGUCUAUUUAUGGUAAAUAAGCCAGUCUUCUGAGCUGCAUAUCGGAGACUUAAUGCUUGUCUGUUUGUAUCAGACCUUACAGCUAUUUCUUCAGUACCUAAGUUGCUCAUGCUUUGCUCUUGUUAAGCAUGUUUUCAGCUUUGUGUGCUGGCAGCAGGCAAAGACAGUCCUGGCAGCAAUGUCCUCUGUUUGUUGAAAUGGCCAAAAACAAGAAAAUCCAAACCUUUCUCUUAUUGAUUCUAAAAACAGGUUGGAUGAGUACUGCGUUGGAGCUAUUUGAAGCAAUUGUGGGGUGCAUCUUUGUGAUGCCCUCUGCAAUUUUGUUGUCAAAACAGAGAAAAAAAGUCUUUGAGUAUGAGAAUCUCUUCUCUACAACUUUCCUUAGGCAUGUAUUUUCAUUGGUAAAAAGGAUUUUUUAUGUUACAGGCAAGUAAUUGAUUUGAAGUCCCAAGUUCUGCUUAAAUGCAUGUGUAUUGUGAUGCACCAAAUGAAUUCAGUAUUUUUAAUCCAUACCCAUGGAAAUACUCAUUAGUCCUCAGAUACUCAAACUGAGGCAGGUGUUCUGCUAUGGAUGGAGAAUCUGAACACCUUAAGCCUUUAUGUUUGGAUUGCUCAGAAAUUGCUCCAAGCACAGUAGCCUGACCAUGGUCAGUGUUAGGCACUGGCAGAGUUCUCACAUGCCCGUGAUUUUGGCAAAAGUCUUGCACAUACGCUGUGUGAUUCCAGGCAUUUCAACCAAAGAUUCUGUAAGUGUUGAGCAGGUCACCAGCUUUUUCCAUGUCCUGUCCCUCAUCCACGUUUGGAGCGUGGAGGAAUUCAUAUCCCAUUAAAGUUGUGCCUUUGCCAUGACUGCAGUCUAACUAGGCAUAUCAGAAGCAGCUUGGAAGCAGUUUAGUGUGUACUCGGCAACCUCCGUGUAUUCUGUGAAUAUGCUCAGAUCAUCUUGGUGCUAGUAUACCUUCACUCCUAGCAGCACCAAAUCUCUAAGGGGAGAUGUAUGUUUAUGUAAGGAGGUAAAACUAUUCAAGUCUGGGUGCAUGUUCCCCGGAAUUAUAUAGCACAUCCUGAAGAGCAGCAGUGUUAAGCUCCAGGUAUCUCAUUACUGUGGUUUGUUAUUGGUAUUUUGUUUUGUUUACUAUUGGUUUUGUAUGGGUGAUUUUCUCAAGGUGUUUCUUGGGAGGAUAAUAUUAAAUCUGGAGGAACAAAUACCACAGUAAAGUAGGGAGACAUAAUGUAACUUCAAGCCUCAUAAAAUAAGUAGACUUGGUGCAAACAUUUCAAAUCCUCUUCAGCUCAUAAAAUCAAGAAUCAAAAGUAACCUCAAUUCAUGGGGCUCUUCAGUGAAAUGGAAAGCUCAAACACAAGAUAAAAGAGUAUUUCAGACAUGAAAUCUAGGUACAUUGAGACUGGAAAAACUGUAAUUCAGAGCUACAACUGCACAUAUGCAUCCAAAAGAACUGGGAAGAGUGAAGCAACAUGUCCUCAUGUGUUACUGAAGAUAAAAGGGGAACAAUACUGUGAUUAAACAGCAGCAGAGAACAUUUUGUGUGAAUGUUCAAUAUUGGAAAGGGGUUACUACAAAGUAACAUUUAGGUCAGUGGAGCAAACUGCCUUGGGAGGGUGUGGAAUCUGUUUGACUAGACUAAAUACAUGUCUAUUAAAGAUGAUAGAGGAUAACCCAUUUCGAGUUUGCUUCCAGCCCAAAUGUUUUAUGUUAUUUUUGUUCUCUUCAGGUACCUCUCUUGGAUUUUGGUCAGAUUAGAUUUUUCUUCCAGUUACUAUAUUAAUUAUUACUGACAAAAAAGCCCUCUGUGCUAAGAACACUGUGCAGACUAGAAAUAUUAUAAAGAUUACUUUACACAUUGUAACAGGUGUAACAUGCCAAAUAAUUAUUACAUAAAUUCAGUAGUGUGGUAAUGCUUAUGAAUAAUCUCUUGUAUCCUUAUUAAAAUAUAUUAUGAAUGUUUAGACUGUUUUUAAAAUAUUUUAUUACUUAGCAUGAAACUUUUUUUUUCACAAAAAUUUCUUUAUAUUUCAAAGAUGGGAAAUGUAUGACAUUUUAGAGAAUAAUAUAAUACAGAAAGUGGGACGCACUCUGUGUGCCCAUGACCAUACGAGCUAUGUCUCCUGUCCUAAAAAUAUUCAUCAUAAUCAUAAUUUUCAGAGGAGGGUUUUUGUGACAUACAGGUCAGUAAGUGGACGUAUGUGCACAUUGUAUGUGUGUAAAUGCAUUCCUUUACGGAACAGUGUGGUAGUCUUACUCAACUGUUACUGUAGUCAGUGGGAUUUUUGAUUGAUCCCGGGCACAGAAAACACGAUGGCUUCAUGUUUUGAUCAUGGCUUCAAGCUGCACCAGGGAAGGUUCAGGCUGGACUUUAGGAAAUACUACUACUCUGAAAGAGUGUUCAGGCACUGGAAUGGGCUGCCCAGGGAGGUGGAGGAGUCACUGACCCUGGAGGUGUUCAAGGGACGUUUGGACAUUGUGUUGAGGGACAUGGUUUAAUGAGAACUAAUGGUGAUGGGUGGAUGGUUGGACUGGGUGAUCCUGUGGGUCUUUUCCAACCUUGAUGAUUCUAUGAUUCUAUGAUUUUUCUAUCUCAGGUUACGUUUUUUUUUCAUGACAGUUUAUUGUUCAAAAGCAGGCUGUACUGUUAUUAAAAUUGGCGCAUGGAGGAACACUCACUUUUAUCACUAGAAAAAGUGUAAUGUGUAUGUAACCACCCACAGCAGGAACAAAAUAUUUCUUGUUGGGCUCAAUCCAAGUUUCAUUGACUUUUAUGAUAUUUGGAUCAAGCUUUCUAAUCAUGUUGCUGUAAUGAUCUGCAAACCCACUGGGGACUUCACUGCUCCAUGCCAGGACUAGUUGUAAUGAAGUGAUAUGAAAAACAUUGGCACGUAGGUGCAGAAACACAGCUCUGUAGUUCAACUGAUGCAGUUCUUUGAUUUGUCAGAAUGAAAAAGGAAGAAGCUCCAACGCAAAUGAUUCUGUUUACUUAUCGCUUUUAAAGCCAAUUUGGAAGUAAUGGGGACCUGGAGUGUUAGUAAGUGAUACUUAGAAAAGCGGUGAGAAGUGCUUCACCCUAUCCUGGGCAGGUGAAGCGUGCUGUGCUGGCUGGCCACUGGCCUUUCCCUGAGGUCUGUCAGUUCUACUCAUCUCCUGUUAAGCAGUCUUGAUAGAAUAAUAGCUUGUUUUCUUUAUGUUUUUGUUUUUAUUUUUAAUCAUUUUAGAAGUGAUCUCAAGUGAUCAUUUUGGUGAUGUCAAAGGUUCUGGAAUGGCACAUAACAGUUUGGGAGGAAUUGACCGCAUUUUAAUAUAUCUGUUCACAUUUCCUGAAUCAGAAUCUGUGGUAUUCAUCUCUGGAAACAAUGAAGUGGGAAUUUGAAUAACUCUUUGGAGAUGUAGAAUUCAUUAGGGGUCUUUUUUGUCCUUUUUUUUUUCUUCAACUCAUCUUCUUUCUUAGUCUUUAUUUGUGUCUGAGUUUCUGAAAUGAUUGCUAUUGUUUGUUCUGCCUUUUUUUUUUUUCCCCCUCUUGAGAGGCCUUUAACUUGAUUUCUUAUGUUUCUUAGUGGUGGCAUUAUGUUUUCCUGGCAGAAACACUUCUGCUGUUUAACAUGUCGACAGUGCUGUCUGAAAGUAUUUUUGGUCCCAUGCUCUUUCUUGGAUCCUCUCCUAGGGCAGUUUUUCUUCAGUUGGACUUUCCACAGUCAGUGUGGCCUCUUACCAUUUUCCUGUUUUCUAUUAAUUUUUGAGCAGAAGCCCUAGUGCCGAAUGAAACUUGGAGGUUUUAAGGGGACAAGUCGUGGUGAAAUUGCCACCUUGCAGUCUUUAGUCUUUUGACUGCAGCUGCACUAAACUUCUGCUGAACACAGCAGAGAGAGCAAAGACAGCUUAAAGCCAGAUUUUCAAUGGAUGUCAAUGUGAUUUGGCCACUUGACUCUUGAACAGAGACAUGAAUAAACUCAGAGGAGGCUCUGUUCAUGUGCAUUGCCAUUUAUAUUUCAAAGGUAAAUAAUUUUCUAAUUUAAAAUAUAUUGUUUUUAGUGACAUUUUGGGGGAUGUGAAAAGUAGUUUUGUUGUCUUGGCCAUUAAAAAAGAAUAUCAGAGUGGCACCUUGACCACAUCAACGUUAUUGAGUCUUGAAAAUUCAGGAUAUAAUCUGUAUAUCUUCCUUAAAGCAAGGAGUCUACUGUCAAGUACCACGUAAUUAUUAUUUAGAGCUCUUAAGUCUGGGAGGGUUCCUGUCAAGUUUACUUUUUCAGUUUGCACAGUAAUGAUACAGAAUUUCAAAUUUUCCAUCAUGCCUUUUCUUCAUCUCUUCAUCUAUGCUGCAGAUCUUGGAUAAUGGACAGGUAUUGCCUUCACGUGGUGCUGUAAAGGUUGAAGAUGACACUGCCCACGAAUAAUCACUGCUAACUAGCUAACCAUUCUACUUGUUGAAAGAGUUUUGAAAGUGAUCUGUUUCUUACUGCAGGCAUAGCCAUCUGGGUUGGCUUCAGUGGCUGUUGAAGGUCAGUGGAGUGCUCACACUGACUGAAAUAGUAAGCAUGAGCCUUCAGUCAGGCAGGAGCAAAUGGAGACAGGACCAUCUUCAGCUUCUACAGCUAGGGGAAGAAGAGGUCUACUGUCAUAAGUCACAGUUUUCCCUUUUUUUUUUUAAAAAAAAAAGAACAAAAACAUAGAUCCAGUAGUUUUCCUUUAAAUGAGACAUGCUGCAAUAGAUCAGAUAGCUACAAGCUUCUAUAUUUUGUGUUUUCCUACAUGAUGCUCUGCAGAAUUGGUUGAAGUCCAUAAGUGAAAACAUGCCAGAACCCGUUGCAUUACUGUAUUUGCAGGAGCUUCCCACUGUCAUCCAAAAACUAGUAUUUUAUCUGAGAUAAUUCUCCAAGUUGUUCCCUGUAUUUUUGAGAGCUGCAGUGUCCUCAGAGAGGACUGCGUCAGGACCAUUGGUGGUUAUUUCUAGGUCCUCAAUUUUCAGCCUCUUGCUGUUUUAAUCCUAAACCUUAAAGCUUCCUGUCCAUAGAAACCAUAGUCGCCUGGAGUAGGUCCAGCCUUCCAGUAAUAUGUACUGCAUUCCUUGCAAAGAAAUUAGAUAAUUUGGAACGGGCAAGGACCACAGCUCUAGACAUUGUCAGACUAAAGGCAGGAGAGCCCUUUUACCAGUCUGCAAGCGAUAUAUGAAUGCCCUGCCAGAUCCCUCAUGAAUCUUCAUUUCUCAAGGGCAUGUUAAAGUCACUGCCCGUUCUCUUACAAAGAUUAUAGAUGACGGCAUUAAAAUCUUAAAUCACUUGGGUGAUUGUGAACAGUAGAACAUACCACAUAGCACUCCUGGAAAAUAUCUUUUCAGACAGCUCCUGAAAGCAGAUCCACGUGAUAAUUCCUUGAAAAUACAUCUUAGGUCAGCUGUAUUUUUCAUCAUCAUGGUGAAUGUGGUUCUAUCUUUAAGUAUGAUCCCAGGCACUUGGUUUGGUGCAGUUUUUCCUGUCAGGGUGGGAUAAGUAUGCUCAGCCUGACUCUCCAUUCCUGCCCAGAACGCUGCAGCAGGUGACUGCUGACUUUUCACUCCAGGCAGAUGAGGAACGUGCCUGUUACACAGACUUGUGCUGACAUAACUGUCUUGACCGAAGGUGUAAAGAGGCUUGAUCCUUGAUGCGAUCUCUGACUGACACAGAAGCUCUCACUGUGGAGACACUUAUGACAAACCUCUACUUUUAUGGAUACACUUUUUACCUGCUGGAUAAGGAAAGAGGAACCUUAGGAAAAAGCUAUGCUAGCAAAUAAUACAAUUUUGCUAGUACGAAUGAAGCCUGUGCUGGGGACACGCUGUCAAUACAGUUUGCUAGGACAGCUGCAACAGUGGAGAGAUCCUAUUCUGGAUACAGCCUUGUCUUCUGUUCCAGUUUGUCGUGCAUGAUUUAUCUUUCUGUCACCUCUCCAGGUCCCUAGACACCUCUCUGCGUAAAAAGAAAUUAAAACACAAUACAUAUGAGUCUGCUCUGUAUUGGAGUCUUGACCUUUAAUAUAUCAGGUUUUCAUAUUGCAGCUUUGCCAGCAAAUAGGCUGUCCUACAAGAGCUGAGGUUGCUGUAGUGAUCUGUAGAGGUCCCACCUCAGCCGCGCUUCAGCUUUAUUUGCUACAAACUCUCAGGCUGCCUGGAAUGCCUUUGAAAGGAGAUGAGGUUUUCAGAUUGCCUGGGAGAUCAUAACCAGGAGCUUCAGCAAUCCAAUGAGGAAAAAAAACUCUAUCAUCAAAAAUCUGAGAAAGCAGCCUGACAACCCCAGUGUCAAAAGGAUUGCUUAAUGCUUUAUCCUGCUAUAUGAGUUGAAUUUUUAUCAUAUUAAUAAUUUUUGGUGUUCCCUUCUCUCUGCCAGUGCUGUCAUUACAUUUUCCUUUUGUUAGUAAAGAAAGGAAUGAAAAGGUCUGCCUCUGGCUCCGAUCUUGUGGCUGCGCUCCCGCUGAGCAGGCUGGCGUGUCACUGAUGGCAGGCUUGCAGUUAGGCUCCCCAGAUCAAUAAGCCAUCUUAGUUAGUUGGUGAGCAUAUCAGAUGUGAAUUUUAAAAGUCCACAGUCACACUUACAAUACCACAGAAGCCAAAACCUGAUGUAAUUUUUAAGAAGGAUCGGAAUCCUUAAGAGGCUCUAUUUUUCACUCAUAAACCAAGCAGCAUUACCUUCUGACCAGCGCGCUGUUUGAUGAGGUUUUAGUCUCCUGUUUCUCUCUGCAGCUAUUGGGGAUCAUUGUUUCUUCUCUCCAAGAGACAGACAACUGUGUCUUUUAAAAAACAAAACAAUUGUGUCAACAGAUGGGAGAGAAAGUGCUGUGUCUGAAAUAGGAAUACACCAUGUUAAAAAUAGGUAGUCUUGCCAGCAUUGUUUCUUGAGCCAAUGUGGAAAUCCUUCUUUCCCAUACUAGCAUGCUAUCAAAACUACUAAAACCAUGCUAGAAAAACUGCCAAAUUAGUCUAUAAAACAUUGGUAGAAUAAUAACAACCUUUUUCCUGUGUAAUUCUAACAGUCAAGCUAGUAAAGGAGAGUGACUGGCAGAGUUGUACUGCCAAGGGAGAGCUCCGAACAAUACCUUUCAUUGACCCCUGGCCAGCAGCAACUAAAAUACAGCUCUGGUAGUUGUGGACAUAGAUUUUAAUGAGGUGACCCUCUGUGCUCCCCAGCUGUACUAGAACAACUGUGUAAUGAGGAACCAGGGGGUGUCAGAGGCUUUCCCUUUCUUAGAUGCGUAGUUUUGCUCCUAGGUGUGGAGGGAAAUAAUUUUCCUGUCCCACCAACUGUCUGGGGAGAAUCCAUGGCAGUUUUGUUGACAAGAAAACUCCUGCCUCCCCAGAAUAGGAAAGCAGGAUGAACCGUUCUUAAACAUGUUUGCUACUGGCAGAAUUACAGCUGCAGUUUAGACAUUGCAUUUCUACUUUCCAUCUGUUGUCUCGCUUAUUUUUUCAGUCUCUCUCCUUGCUUUCAGUUGUUUUCUCUAUGUCUCAGUUUAUCCAGUUUUCAGGGCUGGCUGUCCAUUUCAGCAUUAUUGCUGUCCUAAUGGGUGUAAGAGGAGCAGAGAAGCUCUUCAAUAAAUGAUUUUUUUUUUAAUUCCACAAUGCUUUUCUGCUUUGUUUGUUUUGGUUUUGUUUGUGCUUUAUGCUCUAUGUUGUGUCAUCUCAAAAGAGAGAUGUUUGCAUAAUGUGUCUUUUGCUGUGGUAGUUUAAUUCCUGCAAACUUUUGUUCUGUAUAUGGCUCACGGUACCCUUGGAGGAGGGAUAAAUUGUAACCUUAAACAGAGAAUGGAUCAGGUCUCUGACCCACUCCAGACCCUUCCAGUAGAGUUUGGGGUCUGGGUUCCUCCAGACUUCUGCCCAGGGAUACAGGAGAAAACAACCUUGGGCAGCAUGAUUUCAGGCAACCCUGUGGCACUGACCUCUGAGAGAGGAUGAAACAGGAAGGUACCUGAGGCCCUUCCAUCUGGGCAGGCGGGCAGCGGCAGGUGAGCAGUACAGCCUGUGACCAAAUACACCUUCCUCAUGAACUGAUACAGCCCACCUGCUUGCAACAGGCCAUUUUUUUCCCCCAGUUAUCUGCAGUUGAGGAAUGCUCCUGGGGAAUCAUGCUUGCCUGGAAGUUGUCUCUGUUAGAUUAAUGUUUCUUGCUGAGAUUAAAGAAAAUUUAAAGGAAAAGACUUUAGAGACUGCCCAAUUACUUUAUUGCAUCUAGGAGAGACCACAUCCCUUAUCUUAUCAUGUGGUCAUUUUUCUUACUCUUUCCUCCUUGCCAUGUGAGGCAAACGGAAGUAGAGGAGUUAAGUGCCCAUGACCCUGUUCUGAUGGAUAAGGAAACUGCCAGUUCUACGUGAAAACACUACAAGAGUCUUAUCAGCAGUUGUGGAUGCAUGGGAUUUCCUUAUAGUAGCUUGUUAUGUCAUCUUUUCUGCAUCACCUCCUCCUGCCUUUGUGCUUCCCUGUAAUCAGUGGGUAGCAUGCACGUUUAUCUCUGCUCAAGGAUAUGCCCCACAUGGUUGGUUUUUUCUUUUUUUUUUUUUUAAUUUGUUUUGCUUAAUCAAUCUAUGGAUGAGUUAAAAAGAUUGGUACGUGUGUGAGUGAAUUCAACCUUCUUCCAGCAUGAUGAGCUCCAAGGAAAUCGGGAAGUUUUUCGCUACAUCCAGAGUCUAUGGAAAAAAAAAAGAACAUUCAGAAGGAUGCAUGCCACCUAUUCACUUCUAACUUGAGCACAUGCCUUGCUUUGCUGAGCUGGCUCUACUGCUUAGAGAUGGAAUUAAGCGUAUGCCUAAAUGACUUGCUCAGCUGUGACUGAGGUUGCAUAAUUUGUCUGUUCAUUUUCCUGGAGCUUUCCUAUUGAAUUCAGGAAUCAGGCCAUGGCAACGGAGAGGUGAUGCAGUCGUAAUUGGCAGGAUAUGCCAAUUAGAACUUAUUCUUUUGGUAUUGUAAAGUGAGGCUCUGUGUUUUCAUUACAGCCAGUUUCAAGUUAUGCUCUUGAAUUCUAGUCAAGUCAAUAUUGUGUUAUGGCAACAGUACAGCAAAAUAUUUUUGCUUUAACUAUAGGAAUAUACAAAUUUGAUCCCUCAAAGCUUUCCUAUAGCUGCAACCAGGUUAACUGCUGUUGCACUGCCUGAUUUUUCAGGCCAUUUUGUUCUUGUACUGGACAUCAAAGUCAUUAGAAAACAUUCACUGGCAGUACUUAAUAGCAUAUUAAAAAACAACAACAACAACAAAAAAAACAACAGACAUUUGUGAUGCACCACUAAUCUAUCAGUCAUUUGUUUAAUUCCACUGCUCCACACAUACAGGAGAAUAAAAUAGAAGCAAUUAAAAUGAAAGUGAUUUAAAAAAAAUCCUCAUAAUAAGGCUUUUUUUUUCUGUAACCAGCUCAUUUUCUUUCUCUGAGAGCCCAAUGGUGAUAGCAGAAGGUGAAAAAUUGCAAACAAAAUUAAGGAAAAGUUCAAGUUAGCUGUGGAGCCAGAAGUGUGAUUCAGGAGCUGAAAAUAUCUCUGCGCUUCAUGCAUCAAACUCAAACACUGUGCUCUGACAACGCCCUCUGGAUCAGAAACGGAGUUUGAGGUCAUUCCUCCUCCAGCCUGCCAUGUAUGGAUAGGGCCCACGCUCAUGACAAAUUACUGUCUUACCGGGCACACACCGAGAGUGCAGUGACAUCAGUGCAGAGGGAUCUUGCCUCACAGCAGAGGACCGAGGACUCCACAGCCUUCUUCCUCCUUUAGUCCUGGAGGAACAGUGUGAAGGCACUGGGAAUGAGGACAUUUUAAACAUUCCUUUUCUAGAUGUGGAAGGAACAAGGGAUAGAGAGCACCCACCUCCUUGUAAAGAAGUCAUAUGGCAUCCAGAAGAACUGCUAGCAAAGAUUCUGAUCAGAAGUGUAUUGAUGGCCAGUUCUGAUUUCUAGGAUAAAUGUACAGCUGCCAGUGAUGGUGCUUCACCGUGGAUGCAGACCCAAAAAGAGAGUAGUGCAUCCUUUGUUGUAUGAGCUGGCUUUGCAUCUAGGAGUGCAGUAUCAGAGACUGAUCUGCAUAUACCAGUAUGCCUGGUAUAAAGUCUGUGCUCUGACUUAACACCAGUCUUGCUGAGGUCUUAAAUUUAUUUUGGUAGAGAGUAAUGCUUAGAUUUUGCAGAUAACAACAACCAAAACUCUGAAAGCAGAACCCAAGUCCUUAGAAUUCACAUAUUUUCUCUGCUGACAGAUUUCUCUUGUCCCCAGGCAUCACACUUUCCUGCUGUUUUGUGUGUCUGCUUAGUUGCCAGCUUCUCAGGUGCAAGCGAGCUUUCAUCCCUGACACUUUUUCAUCAAGGUACUUUUGGAGGAAGUUCCCUGUGGUGAUAUUGCUGAAGCCUAUUUGGAUUGCUUAGAGCAUGAGCUUUAUCAGAAAUCCUAUCUUGGGCUCAGUGGAGACCUGAUGUUUUGGCCUUCCCUGCCCACUCUCAGAGGACCCCUGGAAGUACUCACAUCUUUGUACCAGCUGCCUGGCCAAGCAGUCCUGUUCUUUUGGCAACAGGAGAGCAGACAAAUGGGUUGAGCAACAUGUGUAUGUGGACACAGUGUCAGUUGUCAGCCUGACCAUUGUCUAAAAGCAUCAAGCCUGGUUAGCUGAGGGCACUGAUCUCAGCUGGCAGCGUCUAAACUGCUAUGUGUAGUGAGGUUAUGGACCUAUACUUAGGGGGAUGUGCUCUUGCUAAUUUAGCUCCUGGCUGAAUUGGGAAAAAAAAAGAGUAACCCAAAAUCAUAGUUCCAGUGCUAGCAGCAAAAUAUGAUCCUGCACAUCGUGGGUUCUGGGAAUGAAGGAAGUAAUUUAGAGUAGUUCCAAACACUACAUAUAACAUUGCCAAAGAAAUCAGGUGCUUGAUUUUAAUAGAGUGAAUUGCUUAUGGGUGAAUAAACAAAGUUCACAGGUGAUGUUCCAGAAGUUAUUUGGGAUAAUGUAUCUUUUAGGUAAAUUUUGUUCUGAUUGCUAGCUUUCAGGAGAGGCUGAGACACAAUAGAAACAGCAUAUACAUGUGUUAGCAUGCGUGACUAUUUUUAUUUACAUAAUAUGUACACAUAUGCAAGCACACAUACAUGUAAAUUCACAGGCAUAUAAAUUUCAGCAAAUGAAAAAUGUUGCAGAGAUUUCUUGGUGCUCUUUGUGUCUGGAUCUGCAGCGUGGUGCUAGCAAAAUACCAACAAAGCUGUGAAGAAACAAAAUUUUAAUAGACUAUCAUAAUCCUAUUGCAAUAAAUAAAUAAAUAAAUAAAAAUUAAAAAUAAAAAAAUAAACUUUCUGUUUCAAUGAUGAAGAUGAAAACAUUUACAGCACAGGAAAAAAUUAUUAAAAAAAAAAAUCAUCCCUUUAAAUUUGGAGGUAGCUCAAGAUUUGAUCCAUAAAUUUCAGCAAACUGCUUGUAGUUGCCAGAGCUGCCAGAAUGACUUAGAAUUAAGAGGGAAAAGGUAGAGUACUCACAGAUGAUUUGUGUGAACACGUAAAGUGAGAACACCAGUAUAGUAAUGGGAAACAUUUUCUUUCACUUUUUCCAAGUUUGAUUGCAUGUAGUAUGGUUGCAUUUGGGUUUGAACGAUGUUACUUAGGUGGUUGUGUUCUGCCAUUGUUCCUGUUAAGUUAAUUUAAAGCAUGACAUGGCUUUUACCUUCCUCAAGUAGGGAGAUAUUUUUACUUCCAGUCUUAGCUGCUGUAGCUUUCGAAUUGUGUGUUUAAUAAAUUGUGCUUUGUUUAGGGAAUGGUAACUGUAAAAUAUUGCCUGUUCAGAGAGUAAGUACUGAGAUGGAGAUUGAUGUCUUUCUGGAGCUUAAUGCAUCACAGUGACAGUCAAGCAAAUUUUAGACUUCUCACUCCUCCCACUAAGAACUGUAAUCUCUGAACUUUGUGUUCGAAAAGGAGAAAGAGGGCAAAGAGAUCAUUACAAAGUCCACACAGACUGUUUCACAUAUCUGAAGGGGGGUUGAACCCAUGUAAAAAAGGGGGAGGUUUGUGUAUUGCCUUAGUUCUGUGAGUUACAAGAAAUGAGUUAGAGCUCUGGGAUGGCAAGCUACAGAUGUGUACAAGAAAAGUGUUUUUCUACCCAAGUUGUGUGGAUCUUCCUUGAUUUGAAUUAUCUUAUACCAUCUGGGAACCUGGCUGCAAUUUAAAUAGUGUCUGGCUUUCUGAUAGACGUGGUCAAACGGAGUUGUUAGGUGAAUUCCCUUCCAAUGAUAAGAUACAGUCUGCUGGAAUGAUACCUGCUGCAAGCAAGUUAAGGAGUAACGCAGGCAAGGCUUUAUUUGCCCUUUGUACUCUUGAGAAAAUUUUACCCAUUUAUUGUGCUAUUUCAAAGCCUUAGAUUAAUUAGCAGCAGAAUAAAUAUUUGCCAGUUGUUUUCCUUAAACUUUAGUUUCUCAUUAAAGUACACAUGAGAUUCCUGGUACUUUUUUUAGUCUUGUGAAGUGCACAGGAAUCUUCCUCUGGUACCCCCUCAACUAAUGUAAUAGGGACAGUGUAACAGAUAGAUAAAAACUAAUACAAAACAGAGUUCUUGUUGAUCAGUGAAAUGUAUUUACCUUUAUGGUCAGAUGAUAACAAUGCCUACUGCUACAUUUUAAUUUCACUGCUAAACAUGUAGCUGUACAAUCAUAAGAUAACUACUGAAACUGCUAAGGGAGAGUCUAGUACUCUUCAAAAGCAAAGGGUAGGAGUAAUCAUCAGAGUACCUCCAUUUUCAUGUUUUCAGGUCCAGUGUAAAAGGACUCAUCCUUGAGAGUAUAAGCUACAAAGCUCAAAUUGGAAAAAGUCUUCCUAGUCAUGCCGUGUUUCUCAUACUCUCAUUCCCCUUCUGAUGCACUUGUUUAACUUAGUCUCCAUGGCUGGCAAACAACAGCAGUAGAUUAAAACAGUCUUGACCAGAUAUGUCCAAAUGCUAGCAAAUGAUGUGCAGUGGUUGUUGCACUGCUGCCUUUCUUUGGUGGGUAGUUGUUAAAGGAAUGUUUUCUUUCACUUCCAAAUAACCCAAUAUUGCACAAGUUUUUACUAACUUGAUGAUAAAAACAAAUUAAAAGUUCUGGGUUUAGUAUCGCAACAAAGCCUCUGGAAGCUUUAAUUGGGUAGUAACAUUCUGUUUGAUGACACUUGCAUUAUCUGGGGUUGUUAAAGGCAUUGUAGGUUAGCUGUUCCCUCCCUCACACUACAUACUGCUUGCAAGCUCAAGCAUUGCUGUAGGGUUGUUGAGUUAGUAAGGAUAUGCAAUAGUACUGAUUAGACAAAAUCAUACCAUCCUUAAACAGAUCUUGCUUUGAAUAAUAUUUAACCUAAUUAUAAGUAAAGGGUAAGCUUUUUAAAUACUCGGAAACUGAUCCAACCUUCACUGAAGUCAGUGGGAGUCUUUCACACUUGGAUCAGAUCCUGGUAUAUCUUUUGAGGAACACUGCUGAAGACAGAGAAGUCUACCUCAUGGGGAAAUACGCUGGCUCCCAUCGGUUAAAAGCUGAUUUUGUAAAUGGCAUAUUUCCCUUGUGAUUUUGUUGUCUUUUAAUGGAAUGCCCCUCUGCUCCUGCUUGGAUUUACCAUAAAUGGCCCCCUUGUCUUUGGGUUGGAGACUGCAUAAACAGAUUUGUAAUAUAUAUUCAUUAAGAACAACUUUGUGCAAGUGUGACCAUUGUCAUUAAAGCCAGUUAGGCCUCUCUGAAAGUGUAAGGUGUGGGGCUGCAUGCUUAGGGGCUGGAGGAUAUCUGUUUAUUACCAGGAGAAGCAAGAUGCAAUUUGGAGCACCCCUAGGUUUUACUGAAGAAUGGGCUAAUAACAACUCAUGGUUUCUUUAUUGCUUUGCUUUCUUUUCUGACAGGAACUUUUCUCAGUCUAGUUGUAAAAAUAGAGAGUGAAAUACUGGCUCUGCUAUAAACAGGGUUUUGCCCUUGAGUCCAGCCUUGCCCUGCUUUCACCCAUAGAUUAAAAGCAUAUUGGGCCCUGUCUGCCCGGAGAUUGAAAAGUGGUUCCUGGCUCUGCAUCCAGAUUAAUUUCCUAGAAAGCUGUAUAUUGAUGUGAUAAAGUGUUAGGGUCUGGAGCCAGAGAUUAUGUUAUUUUAUAUACUCAGAUGCCUAUAUAGACCACUGUUGACACUGCCAGUUAGUAACACAUUAUCAUUUGAUAUUUGUUUUUGUUGCUGAUAGCAAACAUUACAGCAGAAAAUAUAAGCAUAUGCCUUUUCUUACUAACUCAUUCCAGACCUUCCUCAACAUUCACAUUUUGGCACUGUUUCCCUCAGCUCACAUCUGCACUCUGCUGAUGACGAAAUCACGGAGUUAUGAGGCUUCGCCCGUAGCACAUUGGUCAGUCUUUGCCAGUGCACAGGGCAGUGCGGGCAGGCCUUGUGCUCAUGAAAACCUAGAGAGGUUUGCUGCUUGCUUCUGUAGGGAUACGAUUAGGUCAUGGCCAUCAAUCUACAGGUCUAGCUUGCUGAGUUGGGCAUUUUCCUGUCAGAGGCCUCUGUCCAGAAUGUUUGUAAGUCCUCGAGGAAUGGGUAGCUCUCCUGCUGCGGUGACCCAGCUGCCCCAUGAGGGUAGACAGCCAGCAGCGUCAUGUCCAUGCACUGUGGAGCAUGGCAGGGCAAAGGGCAGGAGAAAAGACACACAAGAUCUCUCCCUGGGACUAUGUGCCAUCAUGUCACUCUCCAGGAUCUCCCUGAGGGUGCUUUUCUUUCCAGGAGCACAUCCACCCUGGAGUGAGCACCUCACUGCUCAUCCCUGGCACGUAGUUUGCAGUAGCAUUUCAUGUACACGUCUUCAAGGACAUAGGGAGUCCUGGAAGAAAGGAUCCCGAGAAAAAUGUGGCCUGUGGUUAUCUGUGCUUCACAGCUGUUUGAUUAUGUGGUCCCUAGGAGAUCACUGAUGGUGUAUUGUCUCAGUAUUCAUGGGGUGAUCCCACUUUUAGAGCACAGUUCCAGGCAGCAAAGAAGUGGCAUGCGAGAUACUUGCACCGCUCUGAUUCAAAGACAGGAAAAUACUUGUGUUUAAUUAAAAAUACAUCUUAUUAAAAACACAUAUGUUACCAUACUACCAAGGCACUGCCAUACUUUCUAUGCUUAUUCUGCUUGGUGUAUUUGUAUGUCUGAAAGUGAAUCAUUGUAUAUACCUUUUGGUCUAGGUCUUGUGAGUCUAGUUUUCACUUCAGAAUAUUUUUAGUUGACAUGCAUUGUAGAUAACUGCAAGGUGGAAUCCCCAGAACCGGUACUGAUUUCUGGUGUCACAUUGCUCUGAGGGAGAAAUACCUAGGGAGCGAGAAGGACAGUGUCUAACUCUCUGAAGUUCCUAUUUGUAUUAAUGUAGCCAAUACCAUAGCAAGAUGACUUGGCAAAAGUCCUUAAAAAUCCUUCGUGUUUGUUUUCUAAAUAGGUGGAGGAGAGUGUGGACAGCCGUAUUUGCUGGAGUGGUGAACCAAAUUGCCUUGACUGGAACCAUUAUUCACUUGCACCUUUGACUGCAGCAGACAGGUAGGAGAACAAGGAAAGGAUGGGUUCAAAUGAACUUGGGGAGCAGGCCUCAGUGAAUAUUUUUUUGUUCUCAGAGGGCUUCAACCAGAAGUCACUCACACUUAAAUAGUAACUGAUUACAUGUCCUUUUGUCACCUCUUGGUGAAACCAGAGGCAUCUCUCUUUCUGGAAAGGUUAUGUUUUUAUUAAUUCAGAAGUGCUGUCUUUGCUUUGACCAUAUAUUUGGUUUGCCACUUUCCCUUCUUUGUGCAGUUCUUGCUUCAAGAGUCCAAGGAGCACGCUUUUUGAAAGAAUAGGCAGAAAAAUGUACUUGUCUAAAAUAAAAGAAAAAAAUGGUGGAUGAGGUUUUGAUAUCUGAAAGAGGUAUUGUGGUUUCUUUUUUUUUUUUUUUAAUUAUUAUUUAAUUUUUAAAUGGCCUUGAAUUAUAAUCUGGUGAUCUGUUUGGAUCAUCUCACCAUUUCAAGUGCACCAUUGAUGAUACUGUGAUUAAGGUUUCUUUUUUUCCUCUGGGUCUUGAACACGUGGGUUCAUGCAAACUACAGUUGUGAAAAUGAUGACAGUGUAGUAUCACAAUACUCAAGUUAGCUUACAGUUAGCUGAUUCUCCGUAGCAGUUAUCUAUGACAUUAUAGACUACAGAGGCCAGUGUAUGCUGUCCGGAAAAGCUCUGUGUUCUGCUGCUCAUUGCAGCUCCAUGUUUGAGUUGGUAGUUACAGGUUGGACAGGUUUCACAUAAGCUUUGUCUCAGGGCCUGUACCAUAAAGGCAGAGUUACUUUGUUGCAAUACUGAGAAUCUCCUCUUCUUUAAUCUUCUGUGUACUGGCACAUCCUUGGUGUUCAGAGAGUUAUGUUAGCCUUCUGAAUUUAACAUGACUGACUUAAAAUAGUGAAAAGUUAGGAAAAUAUUUCAUCCUUCUCAUUGGCCCUCUCUGUUUUACAUUUUUUACCAUUUAUAUGUAACCCCGAGAGCUAGACAUGUACAGAAGACAUCAGAUGUUCUCAUGCUAUAUGAUGAUCUCAGGAGAAGGUGUUUAAAGAAAAUGCAUAGUGUAUUUUGACAUAAAACUCUAUUGUUUUUUCAGAACUGUAAAUGGCAUUGGACCUAUAUUUCAUUCUGUAUGAACUGAAGGAGGGAGUGGAGGGGGUUAAAUUGAAAUGGGCUUAAACCUUUUCUGAUACCUGGAACUGGUCCCAAAUAUUCCACAGUCCGCAGUGGUGCUAUAUGGGAUAUUUCUUCCUUUGGAUCCACAUCAAAGUUGUGUCAAUCUGCAUCGCUCUAUUUCCCCUCUGCAGUCUCUGAGAGCUGAGACAUCUUCCCAUGUAGCCUAGGAUCAGAGCUGGAUGAGAAGAGUGUUACCAGGGAACAUGCUGGCAAAAGCAAUUCAUUGUCCUCGCCUGUAGAAUUUACAGUGAAAGUUCAGCAGGGAAGCAAACUGUCCUGAUGCACCCCCGUGCUCUGCUCCCAGAUUGGGAAGCAUUAAUAGUGUGUGAAAUUUAUAAGAAGGAGUUUUGGAAUACUGCAGUAUGAAAAACUAGCCAUGUCCCAACUCACCAGGCAAGAUUUAAGUGUAAAACUGAGAACUUUGGUGCCCAUCCUCUAAAAUGGGCUUCGAGCAUUGAUUCUUCAGGUUUCAUUAGUGUGUAACGUAAUGGUACUUCUACGCAUUGGGCCCUUGUUGCUGUGGCUCUCCUGUAUGCUGAAAAUUCCCCUUAUAAUGUGUCAGCCUAGUAAUGGUCUUUACUUUUUCAUUUGGGACUGCUGAACUUCAGAAUAGAUGCUCUCAAUUAACAUAAGUCAGAUAAAUGUUAUUGUAACUGUGAUAGUACAUAUCACUACUGUGUGUGCUAAGGACAUUAAAGCCAGCACUUAAUACUGGAAGAGUAGUAAAUAUGCUGUAUGAGCUAAUGGACAGCUCACAUUAAGAAACUGAAGCCUAUAUUGCCUGCUUUAUGAGUGUGAACUUGCAGUUUGAUCCCACUGCUAGAUGCAAGGCGAUAGGAAGGCGCGUUUCCCCUGAAGACAGCAGCACGCAAUGCUGCCAAACCAGCAGUCCCGGGUGCCCUGCAGGGUAUGAUUCUUGCAGCAGAGAGCGAUUGCACAAGCUGUGAUGUGCAGGACUAGCUGCUCUAUUUUGGCUGAGAAUCCUUUGAGGAUAUUGGUCCCGAUUCCCUACUGUCUGAAACCUUUUGCUAUUUAUACCUGGGUAAAGUGAAUGCCUGGCGAGCAUAAAAUGCCACUACGCUAGUGCUAAAGGAGCUGUUAUCCACUUUGCCCAAAUAUAAAUGACUAUGCAAAAGGUGAAGCAAGUUCAAGGUCUCUCUUUUUGUUAUAGCAUUACCCCUAGAUCCUGCUGCUCGUGGCUGAAUGUGUGAACAGGAGGCUGUGCUUCAGUGGUGGUGGUUUCAGCUCAAGACGUGCAAAUGCAGCGAGAAAGAAGAACACUCAUUUCUUUUCCCACUAUUAGUCAGAGAGAAAAACACGUUUCUUCUUCCCUGAGAAGAGUACAGGGGCAACACAUUUAUUUGCCAGUUUUCUGACAGUCUGAGGUAGAAGAAAGAUACUUGAAAACAUCUGGCAGAGGCAGAAAUGGACACUAUGACUUGCAGUCUCCCUGCACUCGAUAGUGGGUAGUGUAUUAACAUGCCGCGCAUUGGAGAGACACAGUCCUUGAAAUCCUCUGACACUGCAAGCUACUGCUUUUAAACUAGAACAGAGACAGAUAAGGAUAUUGUGAAGGAGAAAUCCAGCAUUGCAUAUUGUAAAACUGAAUCCUUAAAAAAAAAUUUGGUACUUUUGGCAGUGUUUCAUUUAUUGUAAAUAGAAUCCAUAUAUAUUCAUAGAUAUUUUCAAUAGAAUGUAGUGUACUGCUGUUUCUGCUAUCUAAGCAAAUAUCUUGCUGGAGUAAUUUAAAAACAGAUCUGCUUCGUAGCCAGCACUGCACCAAUUUAAUAGUAAUACUGACCCGUGUUAGAGAUCCUGAGCCAGAUUUUGACAGCUGUAAACCUGCUGAAAACAAUGAAGACAUUCAUGAGGUUACCUAGCACAGGUAAGGACAUCGGAAUCUGGCUCUUUCUGAGUAGAGCUGCUUGUGAAUCGUGUUCUGCCAUGCACUCUGCUGUGGAAAGACCAUUUCAAAAAGCAAGGGAUGCAAAUCAUAGGGAAUAACAGGCAUCAUGAAGAAUAAUGCCUAGGUAAACCUCCAUUUAUGUGCCUAUCCAGUUUAUUUAAAUAAUCCACUUUUUGCUGCAGAUAGGAUGUCAUAAUGUUGUUAACAUUGAACCACACCUGGUGGGAUUGUUUUUACGUACCUUCUAGUACAUGUAUACACCUUUUCACGUGCACAUUUCCCUCUGUC
rnacentral:lncRNA from 1 species